rnacentral:lncRNA from 1 species
GCUCUGCAUGUCAUUUUAAUUGUGAAUCAUAAUACUGUUAGAUUUUACUGCGAUAAAGUACACAUAUCUGUGUUCAGCGAUGUCUCACGAGUAUAACAGUAUCCUGCAUGCAUAGCGUUUUGGACACUAACAAGGGCCAAAUAUAGUGCAUUGCCUUUUGCAGUUUACAUACAUUGAAAUUUNNNNNNNNNNNNNNNNNNNNNNNNNNNNNNNNNNNNNNNNNNNNNNNNNNNNNNNNNNNNNNNNNNNNNNNNNNNNNNNNNNNNNNNNNNNNNNNNNNNNGCCAGAUUCGUUAUGUUGCCUUUGAGACCGUAUAGCAGGCCAAGAACGAAAAUCAUAGCAUAGCAUUUGCAAAAGUAGACAAUCGAGUGUAUACAAAAUGGGAUGUUUNNNNNNNNNNNNNNNNNNNNNNNNNNNNNNNNNNNNNNNNNNNNNNNNNNNNNNNNNNNNNNNNNNNNNNNNNNNNNNNNNNNNNNNNNNNNNNNNNNNNAAACUGGAUGUAAUUAAAGAACAGUAAAGUUGUAUGAACACUGCCCUUUACCCCGUGCCAAAGCCAAAUGGAAAAUGGAGCAUGAUAUUAGAUUACACAGAGGUAAACAGGGUUACACCACCCAUUGCAGUGCAGAAUACACAUUCUCACCCUUGUCAGGCAUAUCCAAUGUAGAGGCAUAUGUUGAUGACANNNNNNNNNNNNNNNNNNNNNNNNNNNNNNNNNNNNNNNNNNNNNNNNNNNNNNNNNNNNNNNNNNNNNNNNNNNNNNNNNNNNNNNNNNNNNNNNNNNNUUUUUCCCUUGACCUCGGCUAUUUCUGACUAUUCUUUGGUACGUUAGUCCGGCCAUUCUAAGGUGCGGUAUACGUCACCUAUCAGUCCUCUGUGUUACACAAUUCUACGUGCUGGAUCAUACUGUAAUCCUGACAGUUAUAUCCUGUGUGAAGUACAAGCUCUAGCAUGACAAUUUCUAGUCUCACUUCUCAAGCAAGCAUUGGUAAUUACUUUACUGAGAGGGUAGUGGAUGCAUGGAAUAGUCUUCCAGCUGAAGUGGUAGAGGUUAACACAGUAAAGGAGUUAAAGCAUGCGUGGGAUAGGCAUAAGGCUAUCCUAACUAUAAGAUUAGGCCAGGGACUAAUGAAAGUAUUUUAAAAAAUUGGGCAGACUAGAUGGGCCAAAUGGUUUUAAUCUGCUGUCACAUUCUAUGUUUCUAUGUAAACAGUGUUAACUUUAUGAAUAUCUGAAAUAUAUUUGGAAAAAAUAUUGCUGAAACGCAAUAUGCAGCUGUGGCUUGGCCUGCGAACAAUACCAUUUUAGCCAAAGAAUGAGAAUAUAACAGCUGACUAUCUAGAUGAAUGUAAAUUAAAGGAACAUUGUAGGAUCAUGAACACAAACAUGUAUUCCUGACUCUAUACUGUUAAAGCCACCAUCUAGCCCCCCUCCCCCGGAACUCCCUUGCCUUUCUAUAUAUAGUAAAACCUUACUUGUAUUCAAGUCUGCAGCUACUGGCUCUGCCCCUUUUUGCCUAAUCUGCCUCUGCCUGCUGACAUCAUCAGAAGUGGUGAUCUGAGCCAAUCCCAAUGCUUCCCCAUAGGAUUGGAUAAAACUGUUAAGGAGGCAGAUCAGUGGCAGAACCAGCCCAUGAAUCAGUGCAUCUCUAUGAGUGUGAUACUUUUUAGAAGAACUUCAUUUGGAACUCAACUACAGAUAAAAUAAUACAUUUGACACUAUCACUUUAAGAUAGUAUAAUUUAUUAAAAGUAGGUAAUUCCAAUUUAAUAAUCCUCUGUAGCAGUAGAAAUUGAAAAUAAUAAUGCAUAAGUAAAGAUAAAUAGUGUUUGGAAUUGCUUCACAGAGAAUAUAGAGUUCAACAGUAAAUUAUAUAAAUUGACCCUGAAUUGGAUUUUAACACCACAGUCUUUUAGAAGUAAUUAACUUAGGAAAGAGCAAUCAGCUGUAAUAGAAUUCCAGGAGGUAGACAAGAAUAUUCCCAUUUAUCCUACUCAGUAACAUAAAGGUAUCAUCCUAUGAUUAAUCCCAUUAACUGAAGAACUUAACUGUAUUCCCGUGGGUAAUGAGAAUGGAAGUCAUUUGCAACUGUCAAUGAAGAUUUAGGAUGCCAGUAGUAUACUGAGGUUUCAGGAAACCAUAGUGAAGCCUUUUUCUGAGUCUGGGAGAGGAGAAGUUAGCGAUGCUCGGUACACGGGUAUCCAAUAUAGAGCUCCGAAGGAAAUAGAAACAGGUAGGAUACAAAGUAUCAAUGAGAAACAUUGAUUGAGCAAUACAUAUGCGGCAGCGGCAUCCUUUUAACAGGGAAGCGCGUGACGUCAGACGCAUGGAUAGAAAUUGAUCGGUGAAACCCGGAAGUCGUACAGGUAAAGGCCAAUCUGAGUGAGAGCAAAAUAGAGAAUCAUGACAAUGAGGGGAGUUCAGUGUCUGCAUGCAAAGGGUGGAGACACUGAAUGUCAGUGCUGCUUAUGCAGCCAUCUGAGGCCAGUAGAGGUAUCACUAGGCAUUUUCUCUGAAAAGACAGUAUUUACUGCAAAAAGCCUAAAGGGAAUGAUUCUACUCAACAGAACAGAUACAAUAAGCUGUAGUUAAAUAGUUACAUAGUUACAUAGUUGAAAAGAGACUUGCGUCCAUCAAGUUCAGCCUUCCUCACAUUUGUUUUUUGCUGUUGAAGGCAAAAAAACCCGGUUUGAAGCACUUCCAAUUUUGCAACAAGCUAAGAAAAUAAUUCCUUCUUGACCCCAGAAUGGCAGUCAGAUUAAUCUUUGGAUCAAGCCGUUAUUACUCUACAUUGAAAGAUUAUAUCCUUGAAUAUUCUGUUUUUGCAAGUUUGCAUCUAGUAGCUGUUUGAACAUCUGUAUGGACUCUGAUAAAACCACUUCUUCAGGUAGAGNNNNNNNNNNNNNNNNNNNNNNNNNNNNNNNNNNNNNNNNNNNNNNNNNNNNNNNNNNNNNNNNNNNNNNNNNNNNNNNNNNNNNNNNNNNNNNNNNNNNAUUAAUUUGGGCAAAUAGCUGGAAAUUCUAAAUCGGAAACAUAAAACAAACAUCUGUUAAAAAUGGACUGGAAACUACUCAUUAUACUCUUUAUAUUUUGUUCAUUUUAUUUUCUGUUAAUUGUUUCCUCAUAUGUUUGCAUAAUGUAAGGUGUUCCUUUGAACACUAUUUAUAGCUCAUAUCACCGCUGUCUUACACAGUUCGGAACAGCACACUACCCACGCUAACUCCUAACCCCCCCCCCCAUGAGUCAAUCUUGAUUAUGCAUCCAAUUGACCCAUCCUAAAGGGGUUCUAGACUUUACCAAAUAAUUACAAUUCUACUAAAAGACCUUCAUUGACAUGGAGGCAUCUGGGUGCUAUCCACCCUUCUUGGCACUCUCAUUACCUCCUAUACAGCACUAAGAUGGGGACAGCAUUCCUGUUAACUUACUUUUUAUUUAGAUAUAGUAUAAUAACAUUAAAAUCCACAGUCCUCCAUGUUAUACAAACUACGAUAUAUGUAUGUGCCGCAUUUUACUACCUGAGAAAUGCAUAUACCAUAUUAUAUUGUUGACACUGACUACGCACUGAUGUCCAAUUAGAAGCGAUGCCUGAUUGUGAUGGCUGGAUUGUGAAUAAUGAAAUAAUUUUUUUUUAAAGUACUGAGAAAUUGUUGUUUUUUGGGAUGAAUAAACACGACUAAUAUUAGACACUGCUUAGACACUGCUAGUUAUUGCAAAAUAUUGUUGAAUGAAUUUCUAUGCAGAUUUUUGAGAUAGUGCAAGUGUUAACUAAGACCUGAAAUUGCAAGCAGUUCUCACCUUUGCACCGAGGUUCAGUAGAGCUCCAGGUUCCCAUUGCCGUGCAGGAUAUCGAAUUCAUUCCGACCAAUGAAAAAUCUGGACCACAAGUAAACGUCACAGAUUCUUUGUAAUUGUAUUCUGUCUUCUUGGGCUCAAAGCUUCCAUUAGCAAUGGUACUUGGAGGAAGACAUACUUUAACUAUGAAAUAAAAAUGUUACCCUAAAAUACUCAUACAAUUUUAUUUGACUUAUUUAAUCUGACUUAUUUUAUCUGAACUAUUACAUAACUAAAAAUAUAGUAUUAUUUCAGGAUGAACAUAUUUUGCUGAAUUUAUUCCACAUUUUUAUUUGCUGCCAUUUUAUUAAAUGGAAGAUUUGAAUACUGAAAUCUAUGCUAGUAUGAUUCUAAGAGAUACAACUAAUAUCUAACGCAGCAAUAGCUUACACAUUAAGCACCUUAUGAACAACAAAAAAAGGUGUGCUGUGCCUUUUAAUAUUAUGCAAGGUAUGAUAAAGUGCAAUUAGGUAGUGCACUGUACAAUUGUGAUAUUGCCAAUAAUAAAGAAAAUAUAUAAAGUGCAAACAAAACAGUGCACUAUAAAGUAAAGUGCAAAAUAAGUGCACAAGUGGAAAAAAAUGAAAUAAAAAAGGCUUACAGUAAUCCUUAAUAAAUGGAGUUUCUCAGUAUUCUCCCAGAAAUAGAUUGGAGUACAUUGCAUGAAAAUAUAAAAAGAGGGAACUAUAGUGAGAGACUGCAACACUUAUAAAUAUAAAGUCAGAGAAUGACAAUAAACUCAAGGAGUCUGCUCCAACUCAAAUGGCUUGUCCCUGUACUUCAGGGCUGGAGUGAAGAAGAUGUUCAGAACCGCGGCUGGACGCGUAACAAUUCAUACUUUAUUAAAUGUGACAAAGCUCUUAGUCCAAAAGAAGUCCUCAACUCUUCAAAUAAAGCCGCAGAUUUAUUAUUUCUAAAUUAUUUAAUACAAUUAUUGGCAAUCUCACUGUUUGCACUACCUAAUUGCACUUUAUCAUUCCUUGCAUAAUAUUUACAGAUACAGCGCGCAUUUUUUCUUUGAUUACAGCUGUUUGUGUGUUUUUUGCGUUUUAAAGGUGCAGCGUUCCUUUUAAUAUUACUAUAUAUUAUUACGUUAUUCUUACUAUUAUCGCCUUAUUUUGCUUGUUCAUUUCUUUUUUGUGUGUAUUAAGCAUCAUAUGCUACAAAAUGUACACUAAUAAUAGUGGAUAACGCCUGCUGUGAAAUAUUUGGUGCAUGAGUUUCUGUACAGGUUUUUGAGAUACAUCAAAUUGUAAUAAUGUGAAACUGAAAAAAGUACAGCAAGCAGUUCUUACCUUUACAUUGAGGUUCAACUGAGCUCCAGGUUCCUGUUGUUGUGCAGUUUAUUGAGUCUAGUCCAAGCAAUGUAAAACCUUGAUCACAUCUAUAUUUCACAGAAUCCGGGUACACAUAUUGUGUCUUCUUCGGAUCAAAACUUCCAUUAGAUAUUACAUUUGGAGGUUUACAACCUAGAUGACAAAAAAACAGGUUCUAAAAACCAUAACGGCAUAAAAUUUACCUACGAUUUUAAAAUGAAUAAGUAUUUUAAGAACAUAUAUAUAAGAAUACAAUAGGCAAUGGCACCAGUGGCAGACCCAGGGGAGGGGGAGGCAACGGGGCAAUUGCCCCCCCCCAGUAUAGUGCCAAGGCUCUUCCCUGCCAGUUUCAGCUGGGCCAGCUCUAUCCAAUUGCCGGCCCUGCUGGGUGCCUCACCAGAACACCAGGGCUUCACCCCUAGGACCACCUAGUUUAAUGUCCCAUCUCCCAGACAAAGGUAAAAAGGCAGGGGGGGUAUAAAGAUUAUUUAAGAAAAAAAUAAUAAUUUUAUUCUAAAUUUAAAUAAUAAAAAAGCAAAUAAAUAUAUAUUCUCAAGUCACACACUGCACCUCACAUCCAGCCACUGUACCACACACCCACACUCUGCAUCCCACAUCAACUGCACCCCACACCCACACACUGUACCACACACCCACACUCUGCAUCCCAUAUCCACUGUACCCCACACCCGCACACUGUACCACACACCCACACUCUAAAUCCCACAUCCACUGUACCCCACACCCACACACUGGACCUCUCACACACACUGGACCCCUCAUACAGCACCCCUCACACACUGGACCCUUCACACACAGAUUGCAACCCUCACACACAUUGCACCCCUCACACACACACACUACUGCCCCUAUCCCUUACCAAAGGCCCUAUUCCCUCCUAUAGCUCUAUCCUUGCAGACCCCAGGUAAGUUUUCAAACUGUUCUUAAACUGUUUGACUACUUACUCUGGCAGGGCUCUAUGGCACUCCUGUACCAUAACCACUACAGAGGGCUGUGAUGGUUACUGUGCCUGGAUUUUCCUUUACAUGAUCUACUACUGCCCCUCCCGAGAUUAGGAUCUGGAUCCGCCCCUGAAGGGCACUGUUAUUCUUACUUUUUAUUGCUUUCUGUCUUUUUAUUUUUCAUUUUCUUAAUGAUGCUUGUUGAAACUAUUAACUACAAUAUAAAAAAGCUACACAGGAAAUUAAACAGUCAAUAGUUCUCAAGAUGCAAGGGUAUGUUUUAACUCAAUAUUUACACACUGAAAUAGCACUCAGUCCUAACCUUUAUAGCCUUUACACUGGGGUGCAGCUGAGCUCCAGGUUCCCGUUGUUGUACAGGAUAUUGUAUCUACUCCCACAAGUAUAAAGCCUGUAUUACAUGUAUAUUUCACAGAGUCCUGGUACACAUAUUGUGUCUUCACGGGAACAAAGCUUCCAUUUGAAACUGAAUUUGGAACUGAACAGACUUGCGCUAGGGAAAAAAACAAAAAUAAAUUAAACAUACAAAAAAAUAUUGUAAAAACAAUUACUGAAAAUCUAGGAUCUUCGUUGUUGGUUUAAAGUGUUCUUGGCAAUGACAACCUCUUUGUCCUAAGCUAAAUCUUCCACAGAAAUAUCAUGUACUUCUUACCUUUGCAUUGAGGUUCAGCUGAGCUCCAGUUUCCCAUCGAUGUGCAGAAUAUUGAAUCUACUCCCACAAGUGUAAAGCCUGGAUCGCAUGUGUACUUUACAAAUUCCUGAUACCCAUAUUGUGUCUUCUUGGGACUAAAGGUUCCAUUAGAAAUUGAAUGUGCACCUGGGCAGAGUAGCACUAAGAAACAAACAAAAGAAGAUAUUAAAAUAAUCACAGCAAUUGAAUUUAUCAAACUUUUCUAGGAUUUUAAUUGGAAGUAAUUGAUGAUCAAAAUGUAAGUCAGAGUACAAAAUAAUUUCAGGCAAGGAAGGACAACUGGUGAACCAGCAUCAGGGAUAUGAAUGCAUCAGACCUGGUCCAUGCAACAAUAGAAAAUGAUUCCCUGGUCUGAUGAUCACUUUUUCUUUUUCAGAUGGAUAUCCUGGUGUGUGUGAGUCAUUUACCUGGGUAAGAGAUGAUAGCAGGAUGCACUAUGGGAAGAAGGUAGGCUGGCAGAGGCAGUGUUAUGCUUUGGGCAAUGUUCUGCUGGGAACCCUGGGUCCUGGUAUUCAUGUGGAUGUUACUUGCAUCCUGCAACACCGCAAAUAUUGUCCAGGAAUGAUUUGAGGAACAUGACAAAUAGUUCAAGGUGUUGUUUUUCCUCCAAGUUCCUCAGAUCUCAAUUUAAUUAAGCAUCUGUGGGAUGUGCUGGAACAACAAGUCAAAUCCAUGGAGAUCCCAUCUCACAACUUGCAGGACUUAAAGGAUCUGCUGCCAGAUACCUCGGGACAGAGGUCUUGUAGAGUCUAUGCCUUGAUACAUCAGAGCUGUUUUGGAAGCACAAGGGGGACCUUCAUGAUAUUAAGCAGAUGGUUUUAAUGGUGUGGUUAAAGUGUAUCCAAGUGUGGAUUGAAAGGUUUUUAAUUUGGAUGAAUCAAUUUGUUUAUGGACCAACCCGAUAUUUGCACGUGUAGUAUAUAGUCCUCAAUAGUACCUCAUGCUUUAUCUUAAAAAACAAAAUAUUCUCCUUUAAGUAGUAAGUAGUGCUUACCUUUGCAGUGUGCUUCAUCUGAGCUCCAGGUUCCCGUUGCUGUACAGGAUAUUGAAUCUGCUCCCACAAGUACAAAGCCUCGAUCACAUGUAAAGCUCACAGAGUCCUGAUAUAUGUAUUGUGUCUUUAUGGGACCAAAGCUUCCAUUAGAAAUUGAAUUUGGAACUGGACAGACUUGCACUAAGGAACAAAAAUAAAUACAUAUUUAAAAACAAUCAGCAUAAAUUAUUACACUUUAUUUUCUAACAUUGUGCAAACCGUUGAUGAUCCAAUAGAAUAAAUUAAAUUAGCAUUUUUUUUAGAAAGGAUAUUCACUUUAUUAUUCUUGCUUUUUAUUUUUUUGUUUGCUUACAAUAGCAUUUUCCAGUAGUACUGGAUAGAUUGGCACUAAGGAAAGAUCAGGAAUUAAAUUCCUCAUUACAAAUGGAAAAUAAUAUUUUAUUUAAAAAAAAUAAAUGUGUUUUAGUCCUUAAUAUAUAAGGCAGUCCUUACCUUUGCACUCAGGUUCAGCUGAGCUCCAGGUUCCUGCUUCUGUACAGGAUAUUGAAUCUACUCCCACAAGUAUAAAUCCUGGAUCACAUGUGAAGUUCACAGAGUCCUGAUACACAUAUUCUGCCUUCACUGGAUCAAAACUUCCAUUAGAAACUGAAUUUAGGACUGGACACACUUGCACUAUAGAACAAAUAAAAAUGUAUUUUGAAAUAAUCAAUGUACAUUGUCUAAGAUCUUGCAAGGAAUAAGUGAUCCAAUAUACUAUUCACAUUACAAUAUAACUUCAGAUGUCACUAAUGUUACAGAGAAUCGUCAUGUUGUGUAGUUUGUCUUCUUGGGAUCAAAGCUGCCAUUUGAAAUUUAGGAUUUUGAAUUAGCCAGGUUUGCACUGGGGAAAAAUCAUUAGUUGAAUCCAUCAUUGCAAAUAGAAAAGUAAUUAUUUUCCUAAAAAAAUAACUGUAUACUAGCCCCUGCAAUAUUAGGCAUUCCUUACCUUUGGAACUGGACAGAUUUGCACUAUGGAACAAAUAAUAAUAGAUUCCUAAUAUAUAAAGCCUUAUAAAGUCCUUACCUUUGCACGUAGGAUCACCUGGACUCCAGUUUCCCGUUGCUGUACAGGUUAUUGUAUCUACUCCAACAAGUAUAAAGCCUGGAUCACAUGUAAAGUUCACAGAGUCCUGGUAUAUGUAUUGCGUCUUUAAGGGAUCAAAGCUUCCAUUAGAAACUGAAUUUGGAACUGGACAGGAUUCCACUAAAAACAAACAUAAACAUCUGGUUUAUCUGUGUUGUAGUAUUUGAUGAUUCAACACAUUUACAAAGCACAGAAUAAUUUCAGUUUGCAUACAUUUUAUAGAGUAUUUUUUUUUACUUUGCAAUCCUUACUUUUUUGUGUUUAGAACAAUACUCACAAAUAUUGAUGCCAUACACCCCAAAACAAUUCCCCCAGCAGUUUAAAAGAAAAUGAGGGCAAACAUUUAAAGAAAGUAGCAUAAAAACAUUUUUUUUUAUCAGCUAGCUCAACACUUAACAAGAAUAAAAAAAUCUGGUUUGCGUUGUCAUGUGUGCUGGGCGUUUUUUUUCUUCUAUUUGUUUCAUGACUCAUUAUUUUCAUAUUAUGAAGUAUGUGGGUGAUUUAAACUAUCAUCUCUUUAACCUCCAGGUCACAACUUGAGGCCACGUUCUACUGACAGAAUCACAUGAAGAUAUUCAAUCUUCCCACCAAACGAUCACUCAGCUCCACCUUCUUGGGUAAUUACUUUUUUGACAUGUUACUUUACAUUGUACUGAUCAGUGGGUGGGAAUAUAAGGAUCAAAUUUCAGAAUGUUUUAAAAUAUUUUGAAAUUCAUAUGUAUUCUAUUUUAUAAGGUAGUCCUGCAAAUAUUUUUAUGUUUUGCUGACACUGACGAGCUCGGUGAGGGUGUUGUGAAAGCAAUUUUGCUACAAAAAGCAAGCUUUUAAAGCAAAAACCUCAUCCAAUAUCCUCACUGACAAAUGCUAUAUUUAUCGGCAUCAUAUAUAAUUAUCCACCUCAGUGUUAAAGGGACACUAUAGGCACCCAGGCACUCGUGCUCAUUUAUGUGGUCUGGGUGAAGUGUCCCAGUACCCGUAACACUGCAAAGCUAAUUAUUGCCGUUUUUAUAAAAUGCAAUAAAUAGCCUUGUGGGUUAACUCCACCUCUAGUGGCUGUCUACCAACCAGACCGCGAGACCUUAAAAGAACCAAAUGAAUCAAAUGUAAAACAGCAAGAAAGGUUUCAGCUAAGAUCCAGGUAAAUAGUCAUCUGUAUUGAACACUUCUUUCCACUGCCUUAAAGGGAAUCUAUAGUGCCAAGAGAACAAAGUAUUUUUCCUGGCACUAUGACUCACUAUAAUGCUCCCCUCCCUCCCUCCCCCUUCCUGUGGUGCAGAACAGGGCCGGACUGGGGAUUCCAAAGCAGCCCUGGAAAAAAAAAUCUAUGCCAGCCCCAUAAGUCAUUGCGCCAUAUAUUGUCGCAUGUAAUAUGUAAGGCUAUGUCUUGCCACCCUAGAUGAUUGAUAUAUAUAUAUAUUGCUUUUUCCAAUAUAAAAUAUUGGUCCUUUCAGAGUAAAAUUUUUAAUUAUACAGUAAGCAUACUCACAUGCAGACACAGACAAUCUCACUGACACAAGCUGAUUGAUACACAGCCUCAUAGACAAACAAUCUCACUGAUAUACAUAAGGUCAUUGACAUAAAAACACAAGCUCACUCAGUAGCAGGCACACACACAAACACACACACACAAGCAAGCCCACUCACUAGCAGGCACGCACACACACACACAGAUUAAUGUAGUGACUCUGGUGUCUAUAGCCUGUCCCUGCAGGCUUUUCAAUGUAAACACUGACUUUUUAGAGAAAAGACAGUGUUUACAUUGCUUCCUAGUGACAGACACUCAGACGGUCACUAGAGGUGCUUCCUGUGUCAGUGCGGAUUGGCUGAGAUCAUCAAGCUUGAUAAUCUCAGCCGUAGAGGCAGGGCCAGUCGAGGGGAAACCAGCACGACAUGGGGGAAAAAAAGGUGAGUAAAAACACACAUACACACACACAUACCAUGACAGACACACACCAUGACACAGACAGACUGUUACACAGACACACAAACACACACACACCGUGACACAGCCAGAAACACAGACACACCAUGACAGAGACACACACACACACCAUGACACAGAGACACACACAUACCAUGACAGACACAUACCUUAAAAAAGACACACACUCCUUGACACACACACACCAUAACACAGACAGACCGUGACACAGACACACACACACCGUGACACAGACACACAUUACAUGACACAGACAGACACACACACAUCACGACACAGAGAGACCGUGACACAGACACACACCGUGACACAGACAGACACACCGUGACACAGACUGACACAUAUUACAUGACACAUAUUACAUGACACAGACAGACACACACACACACCAUGACACAGACAGACCGUGACACAGACACACAUUACAUGACAGACACACACAAUGACACAGACACACAUUGCAUGACACAGACAGACACACACACCAUGACAGACAGACGCAGAUACCAUGACAGACAGACAUACACACCAUAACACAGACGCACACACCAUGACACAGAUGCACACACCUUGACAGACAGAGACACACACACCAUGACAGACAGAUACACACACACCAUGACACAGACAGACAUACACACACACAAUUACACAGACAGACACACACAAUGACACAGACAGACACACACAAUGACACAGACACACACACCAUGACACAGACACACACACAAAUCACACAGACAGACACACAUACACUCACAGUGACAUAAUUUCUACCUGUGUGCUGGCAUGGGGAGUUCUGAUGGCGGUCGCAGGGUUUGCUGGCUGUGCUGGCGGCCGCAGGGGGAGCUGGCUGUUCUAUCUCUCCUCCCCCUCCCCAGCACGCCACUUAAUGAGACCGGGGCCGGAAUAUGACGUCAUAUUCCAGCCCUGGUCUCAUUAAGCGGCGCGCAGGGGAGGGGGAGCAGAGACAGAACAGCCAGCUCCCCCUGCGGUCGCCAAAGGAGCUCCCUCUGCGGCCGCAGGUGAGCCGGCCCCAGGUGCCGACGGCCCACCGGGAAAUUUCCCGGUAUCCCGGUGGGCCAGUCUGGCCCUGGUGCAGAAGAGGGGUAUCUUCUAUAGACUGAGCCUACAGAAACUGCUCCAAUUAUGAUGAUUUCCUCAGAAAAGCUGCCACGCUCAGCACUUUUUUCAUGGAAAAAGCUGCAGCUUUAUUGUCCAUACUCAAGAAGUCAAACAUUUUAUAACCAAACAUAUAAGCCAUCAUAAAUUGUUUUUCAACUUAUCUAAUUUACAUAGCAAGUUCACCAUGUGGAAUUCAAUAUAUUGGUAAAACUAUACAUCAAUUUCGCAGAAGCAUCUUGCAACAUGUCCAUUCAUUAUGGCCCAUCAAGAUGCAACAAUUUUGCACCACAUUCACAACUUGCAUGGCGGUGUUGCUUUACACCACACAGGGCCGGCACAACCAUAAUGCAUCACAUAUGGCCACCUUAGGGUGCCCCGGCCCAGGGGCACAAAUUUCCAGGUGACCAUCAGGAAGGAAGCUCACAGUACUCCUCUCCUGCCUGUCACUUCUUGUAGUGUGGCCAAGCACCAGAACCUUGGCUACCCAGCGCUGAGUGUUUUUUUAGGCGUAGUGGGGCCUGCGAGGGAGCUCAGGUCAAUAUCAUCAAUGAACUAAAACAAAGGUUACAUUUUAACAUUCAAUUUUUAUUAUUUGCACCUUUCCUAAUUUUCUGGUUUUUCUAACCCUUUAAAUUAAGUAUAAUAUGUAAAAUUAUCAAUAAAAAUGAAAAAAAAAAAUACAACACAAUAGUGAUUUUAAUGUUAGUGUGUGCUUUAACUCAAAAAGUUAAAUCACUUUCCAAAACAGCACUUACUCCUUACCAUUGCACUCAGGUUCAGUUGAACUCCAGUUUCCCAUUGCUGAGCAUGAUAUUGUAUCUACUCCCACAAGUAUAAAGCCUGGAUCGCAUGCAAACAACACAGAGUCCUGGUAUAUGUAUUGAGUUUUAUUAGGAUCAAAGCUUCCAUGAGAAACUAAGUUUGGAACAGGGCAGACUUGCACUGACGAACAAACAAACAAACAAGUAAAUAAAUUAAUAAAUAUAAAACCAGUUCAAUUAGAAUAUCUAUAUUGUGAAAUUGAUGGUCAAACACAUAGCGUAAAGUACACAAUAAUUUCAAGUUACAGUUGUAAUUAAAACGAUUCAACCCCUCUUAAAAAUCAGGGUGAUUGUCAAGAUUUACAGACAAUGAUCAAAUCAAACACAAACAAUUUAAAUUGCUCAACACAACCAAUUACGUUUAGUUGCAUUUUCAGUUGAAUUCGGGGAAACCACUUGAAGCAUUCGUUGUGUCGAACUAUUUCACUUGCUUUUUUUUUAUUUGCUCAUUGCAAACAGCUGAAUGUCCGUAAAAUUCAGUGAAGGUUGAAUAAUUAUGAUUACAACUGUACAUUCACUUGAUAAAUUUUUUUUGCUGCUUUUAUCUGUUUUUGUUUUUUUAACAUGUUCAGAACAACAUUUUAAAUAUAGAAAUGGCAUGCUGGUUCGAGACACUUUUGAGAUACAACCUUCAACACUAAAAAAAGUUGAAAAUAUGGCCAGCACUCAGGGAAGACAAUAUUCCAAAUGAUGAAGUGGUUAAGAAGCUAUUUUCUUCGUUAGGUGACUGGUUUUUGUACUAUGAGGUUCUCUUGUUGAUUUUAAAUAUCUCCUCUCUAAUUCUAAAUAUAGGGUCAUUACCGUUACACUGAGGUUCUACUGAGCUCCAGUUCCCCAUUGCUGUGCAGGAUAUUAUAUCUUCUCCCACAAGUAUAAAGCCUAGGUCACACGUAAAGUUCACAGAGUCCUGGUAUACGUAUUCUGUCUUCAUGGGAUCAAAACUUCCAUUAGAAAUGGAACUUGGAACUGGACAGAUUUUAACUAUGGAACAAAUGAAAAUAAAAACAAGCAAUGUAAUGUCUAACUCUGUGCUUAAAGGUAGAUCUACCACCAAAGUUUCAUAUAGUUCUAACCUUUGCACUGAGGUUCAGAUGAACUCCAAGUUCCUGUUGCUGUACAGGAUAUCGAAUCUGCUCCCUCAAGUAUAAAGCCUGGAUCACAUGUAAAGUUCACAGAGUCCUGGUAUAUGUAUUCUGAUUUCAUGUGAUCAAAUAUUCCAUUAGAAAUGGAGUUUGGAACUGGACAGACUUGCACUGAGGAACACAAAUAAAUAUAUAUUUAAAAACAAUCAGCUUAAUGAGUUCUCUUUAUUUUCUAACAUUGAGCAAACAGAUGAUGGUCCAAUAGAAUAUAUUAAAUUUGCAUUUUUUAGAAAGGAUAUUUACUUUGUUAUUCUUCAUUUUUAUUUUUUGUUUGUUUAGAACAGCAUUGGCAGGAAAGAUCAGGAGUUGAAGUCACCUAUACAAAUGUCAAAUAAUAUUUAAUAUAAAAAAUUGUUUUAGCUCCUGAUAUAUGUUUUAGCAUACCUUUGCACGUAGGGUCACCUGAACUCCAGUUUCCUGUUGCUGUGCAGGAUAUUGAAUCUACUCCUACAAGUAAAUAGCCUGGAUUACAGGUAAAGUUAAGUGAGUCCUGGUAUAUGUAUUCUGUCUUCAUGGGAUCAAACCUUCCAUUAGAAACUGAAUUUGGAACUGGACAGACUUGCACUAAGGAACAAACAGAAAUAUAUUUUGAAAACAAAUCUGUGUGCAGUGUCUUUGGAAAGUAAUAAGUAAAACGAAAUGCCAUUCAAUUUCAUGGAGAAUUUUCAUAAUGUAAUAUUUUUUUAGCAUGUUUAGAAUGGCAUUUACCAAUAUGCUAAUACCAUAUUGGAGCAAUUAACCCCAAAGGCAAUAUACAAAUGGAAACAUGGCCACCAAUUCUGAAAGUGCUAGGAGACAACAUUAUUUCAAAUCACACUGUAUUUUUUUUAACAAUUAUUAUUAUUAUUAUUAUUAUUUAAAAAAAAAAAUCUUUUGUUUUAAUUAUAUUGUUUACAAUGCUUAGCCAAGGUUCAAAAUUAGAGGCAAAUUUAACUAGCAAAUUCUCCAAAAAAGUCCAAUCCUCUGAAAAACAUAAAUUGUUAAAUGACUCCACUAUCAUAUUCACCUACAAUUUUUUUGUUGACAGCAUCAUAUAGUGAUCUUCACCUUACUUGUAAUAGAAUAAAAGUAGAGAUAGGGCUCAAUUUGAUUUGCCAUAAUCUCAAGGAUACUAGUAAGCGAAGGACAAUUUUCCAGAAUUCGAGAGAUCCACAUUCAUUCUUCUUCUUUUAUAUACAGUGACUUCAGUUAAUUGGAUUUCUAAAUAAAAAGCUAAAUAAUGAUGCUGUAUAUAAUGUUGUACAUAAUAACUUUAUAUACUCAGACAUAAUAACUUUAUAGUGUGUAUUUAGUGGUUUUACCAAUAGAAAGGGGAGUUUUCCAAGCAGGACGGUUGGACAAUAUGUUUGUGCACCUAAUUCCCAUUAUUCUGCAAGUGAGUAUACUGGUCUUAAAGCAUCAGUUCAAAUGGAAAAUGAAUGGUUAAUACUUCUCAGAAGUCACUGCAUGAUUUAUCUCAAAAAGCUAUAUCUAUCUCUUAAAGAGGAAAGCAGUCCUUACCUUUGCACUCAGGUACAGCUGAGCUCCAGUUUCCAGUUGUCAUACAGGAUAUUGAAUCUAUUCCUACAAGUGUAAAACCCAGAUCACAUGUAAAGUUCACAGAGUCCUGGUAUAUGUAUUGUGUCUUCAUGGGAUCAAAGCUUCCAUUAGAAAUGGAAUUUAGAACUGGACAGACUUGCACUAAGGAACAAAAAUAAAUGUAUAUGUGCAUGUAUUCAAAGUAAAGAAUAAUUAAAAUUUGCAUUAUUUUUAGAGAGACUUUUUCACUUUGUUAUGCUUAAUUUAUCUAUCGUUUGUUUAAUAAGAAUAGCAUUCUCAGGUAUUUUCCAGUCACACUGGUGCCAUGCACCCAUGAGAUACUAACCUCAACAGUGAAAAAAGUAACAAAUAGGGCCAACUGUAAGAGAAACUGCAAUGAAGUAUCAGUAAUUUUAUGGUUUAAAAUAUGACUUCUAUAUUGCCAAAUCUUGGUUACAACUGGAGGCCAAAAACUACACGGAACAAAAUUGUAAACGCAACGCUUUUUUUUUUUUUUUUCACAUUUUUUCAUGAGCUGAACUCAAAGAUCUAAGACUUUUUCUAUGUAAACAAAAGGACUAUUUCUCUCAAAUAUUGUUCACAAAUCUGUCAAAAUCUGUUAGUGAGCAGUUCUCCUUUGCCUAGAUAAUCCAUCCACCUCUGGUGGAAAUUCCUGCAAUCUUGCAUGCCAAUUGCACGCUCGCUGAAAACUUGCAACAUCUGUGGCAUUGUGCUGUGUGAUAAAACUGCACAUUUUAGAAUGGCCUUUUAUUGUGGCCAGCCUAAGGCACACCUGUGCAAUAAUCAUGCUGUCUAAUCAGCAUAUUGAUAUGCCACACCUGUGAGGUGGAUGGAUUAUCUCAGCAAAGGAGAAGUGCUCACUAACACAGAUUUAGACAGAUUUGUGGACAAUAUUUGACAGAAAUAGGCCUUUUGAAUACAUAGAAAAUGUCUUAGAUAUUUGAGUUCAGCUCAUGAAAAAUGGGGGCAAAAACAAAACUGUUGUGUUUAUAAUUUUGUUCAGUGUACUUGCAGGUCCAUCUAAAAAAUGGCAUAUAUUCCAACAACUAAAUUAUGAAUUACUCCAACAUCAUCUCUGCCUACACCAAAUAGUACUGAGUAUUAUUUUGUGUGUCAUGCAACUUCCACAAUCAACAGUAAACACAGUUCUGAGUACCAGUAUUGACAAUUAAUUUGUGCACCUAUCGCCAAUUAAUCUUGAGUAAGUGCUGGGAUAAUUUAAUCAGUACUAAUAUAAAACAAAUAGCAAUAAUUUUUAAAAUGUUAUAAAACGUAAUCUACCUCCUGAAAUAAUAUGUAGUCCUUACCAUUGCAAUGAGGUUCUACUGAGCUCCAGUUUCCCGUUGCUGUGCAGGAUAUUGUAUCUACUCCCACAAGUGUAGAGCCCUCAUUACAUGUAUACUUUACAGAGUCCUGGUACAUGUAUUGUGUCUUUAUGGGAUCAAAGAUUCCUUUAGAAACUGAUUUUGGAACUGGACAGAGGACUAAAGAACGAAAAGAAAUAUACGUAGAAAAGCAAUCAGUACAAAUUGGUUAUCUUUACAUUCUAACAUUUUGCAAACUGCUGAUGAUCCGAAUAGACUAAAUUAAAUGUGCAUUGUUUUUUAGGUCAUUUUUACUUUGUUAUUCUUUUUUUUUUUGGUUAGAAUAACAUUUUCCAGUAUUUUUGCAGAUACAGUGGUGAGCCACUAACUUAAACAGCAUAGAAGUAGGACCAAAAAAUGCAAAUAAGACUCAUUAUUUCAGAUCACUUAGUAUUUUAGAAAAAACAUUUGCUGUUUGCAUUUGCAUGACUGCCUGGCACAAAACUGUUUAACGUCUUCCAAUUUCCAAGAAGUUGCUACUAAAAAAAAGUCAGUCGCCCACAGCUCGCACUAUUCUAUGAGGGACACAUUUAAUCUAAUUGACUAAUUGAUACCCUGUGUAAUCUCUCUGUUGAAAAGCAGCGAUGAUGAAGUGUCAUAAUUCCAUGUUUACUAUUUUGAAGGCUUAAUGUCAGGUUUAAAUCCUGUACUGAGAGUAAAACAAUUGCAUAUCAGAGGUACACCCAAUGCUUGAUAUCUAAGAGAAGAGACACACACAUACGUUGUCUGUUAAAAUUCUGGUUCAUUCCGCGGUCGCACGAGUCUUUUAUGCUAUGUACAUAAGAAAUUGUGUACGUGCAAAACGGCAUGUCCAUUCUUCACGGCAUGUCCAUUCUUUUCCUGAGAAACCAAACUUAAUGAAGUUUUGAUUUCUCGUGAAAUAGAAAGCCACCGGUUAUUUACAUAGAUACAUUAUUAUAGCUACUGCAUAGAAAAUUAACUCUAAGUUACAUUUUCUUCCAUCCCUUAACACGGGGAAAUUAUUGCACUGAGCUGUAUAUUAAUGCUUCAUCUGAUACUGCUGUUCAGAUGAGAAAAUCUACUAAAUUAAAAAAAUUAAAAAAAAAUAUAAGUGUAAAAUAAACUGUUUUCUUUCGUUUGAUGUUUGUCAUAUGCACUAAUAAAUCAAGACUUUUUUGGAUAAAAAAUAUGGCUUCUACAAGGCUAAAGUUCAGUUCACAAUUGGAAGUUAAACUUUACUGGCAGUUUCAACUAAAAAUCUCAGUUUUUCCAAAAAUGUAAUUAGAAAGUGACUUCAACAUUAUCUUUGCGAUUUUUGUUUUUUUGGGGUGAGGGAUUUUUUUAUGGAAAAGAUCAAUUUGGAGGUCCAUUUGGCAGGAUCUUUGGGAUCACUAUAGACCUUUUUUUUGUUUUUCAGAACUCUUCAUUAAUUUGAGUUUCUCAGCAAUUAGCCAAGCCAGGUAGAGUUUUAGUAUAAAUUUAGAAUGUCUUUAGGGAUCUGGUAGAUGAGUCUAUCAAUAGCUAAUUAGACUAUUUGACUUGAGAAUGGAUGAAUAGCCGAAAUUCAGACAAAAAUGAGUUCCUUCAAAAAAGUAUGUCCAAGUAUAUUAGUUAUCACAUCUUAUAAUUACUUUUUUUCUCUGAGGAUGCAUUUACUGAUUACUAUUUAAUGUGAUGCACAACCACAAUCAGUAGAAAAGACAAAUUACUGGUGUUUCUAAAGCAAACGUGUUGCCAUUUAAUCUGGGGUUACAUUUUACAAUAGAAAUGAAAAAUGAAUGGACCAUGAAUAUAAAAUUCUAAAACUAGUCCUUACCUUUGCAUUGAGGUUCAGCCGAGCUCCAGGUUCCCGUUGCUGUGCAGGAUAUUGUAUCUACUCCCACAAGUGUAAAGCCUACAUUACAUGUAUAUUUCACAGAGUCCUGGUAUAUGUAUUGUGUCUUCUUUAGAUCAAAGGUUCCAUUAGAAAUGGAAUUUGGAACUGGACAGACUUGCACUGAAGAACAAACAAAAAUAUAUAUUUGAAACAUUAAGUGCAAACUGGUUUGUAUGGCAAGGUAAUUGGCCAUUUUUAUUUAUCGAUAUUGUCACACCCACAGUAUGUAAGAAAAUUAAAAUUUUUGCUUUUAUACUAAUAUUCUACAGCCUGUGAGAAUUGUGUAAAGGAUACGCUAUAUUGUCUAUAGCUUUUCAUUUCACAAAUGUUUUUAUGAAGGAUGAAUGAAUAAGUGAAAAACCAAAAUUGUGUAAACUUACAUAGUAUCACUUUUUAGGAUUGUCUGCAAAGUAAUCUAUAUACAAAAAAAGCUGUGUUUUGAUACGUUUAUAUACCAGCUAUGUAUCCUUUGCGUUAAAUAAAUGUUAUACUUUUAUUUUUUAAAUAAAAAAAAAGUGCGCUGUAGUAAAGGGGUUAAGGAUUUUAUAGAUUAGUCAAUAAAUAACUGACUACCUUUUACUUGUGUAAAUCACUUUAUAUUUUCAAAGUGACUACCAGUGUUAAAAUCAGCAGUCCAAAUAGAAAAUGAACGGACAAUAUUUAUCAAAAUAGUUUUGCGAACUCUAACUCAAAAAGCAAAUCUCUCUCUUGAAGUAGCAAACACCUUACCUUUGCACUGAGGUUCAGCUGAGCUCCAGGUUCCUGUUGCUGUACAGGAUAUUGUAUCUACUCCCACAAGUAUAAAGCCUGCAUUACAUGUAUAUUUCACAGAGUCCUGGUAUAUGUAUUGUGUCUUCUUCAGAUCAAAGGUUCCAUUAGAAACAGAUUUUGGAACUGGACAGACUUGCACUAAGGGACAAACACAAAUAUAUAUUUGAAAAUACAAGUGCAGACUGGUUUGUAUUUAUUUCCUAAUAUGUUGCAAGUAAAAUGUGAUCCCAAAAACAAAUUAAGGUAUAGAAUAAUUUCAGAUUUCAUUGAUCAUAUAGAGAAUUUUCUUGUUACAAUCAUUGAAUCCUUGUUUUUUAUGUGUUGGGUUUUUUAAACAUGUUCAGAAUUAAAUUUGUUAAUAUGUUAUUGCCAUGCUGGUGAAACACGCCCCAAAGACAGUAGAUCAAACAUUGUAAAAGUGGAAAUUAUGGCCAACUCUUGGUAAAAGUACAAAGGGUAGACAUUAUUGCAAAUCCCCUAGUAAUGAAGAAUGAGUCAAGACAUUACUUUGUUUGGUGGCACUUUUUUCUUUCUGUUAUGAAUUACUUUUAUAUUUAUCUCCUCUACAAUGAGAUAAUUGAAUGAAUUGUAGAAAGUAUCAACCACAAAUUCUCCUAAGUCCGAUCGUUUGACCAAAUACAUUAUCAAAUGUUUCCACCCUCAUCCUCAUCUUGAAAUAUUUCUUUUCUUUUCAUUUUUUUUUAUCAGCAUCACAAGUUUUAAUUUCCAUCUCUCUUUCAAUGGAAUGAGCAAAUAGAUAGUGGUCAAUUGGAACAUUAUUUGCAAGGAUCUCUGAGUCUCCCGUUCUUUCUGUUUCUUUCUGCACAGCCUUUAGCAACUUGGGUUCCUCAAGAACUAAAGAGCCAAGCAGGGAUGUUUAACCCCUGUAUAUAAUAGUGUAAGAUAAAGAACACUGUAUCACUGUAUACUGGCUAAAAUGUUACAUUCCAAAUAUUUUAUUUCACAAAUAUUUUUAUAAAGGAUGAACAUUAGGCCCUUGUCGACAGCAUGCUACACACCAAAAUGCGAGUAGUGCCGUUUGUUUAUUUAUUAAUUUGUUUUGUUUUUCACAUGCUAUGGGUAGUACCUUUUGAUUUGACUUUUGAUUUAUUUUGUCAUAGUUCAGGGCUAGCAAGUUUAGGUAGACAAUAGCAGAUCUCGCGGCAGUGCUGACGUAAUUAUGGUCCUUGUGCAUGCUUCAUUUAUAUCAUUUGUUUUUUUUCCGUUUUUUUUUUUUUUGAGGGGCCAAUAAAUUGAUACCUUCAUUUAUUCACUUUUUUCCCUAGGUAUGUUUGCUAUUUAACUGUGACAAGCAAAUACUCUUGUCUAUGGCUACAUUAUGUAGGUAGCAUUUCCUGGGUAGAACUAUGUGUCACCAUUUUAUUAUAGUUGCAUUUCCAUUCAAAGGGUUUAUUAUCUAAAUAGUGAUUUUGGUGUCCACUGGGGCAGAUAUAUAUAUUGGACCUUCUCAGGUGAUUAAUUUGCAACCCCUCUUCUGUUUUUUUAGGGAAAGGAGCUCAAUUAAUUUAUCCUCCUUUCUCCCUUCUCUAAUUUGCUCUUUUUUGAGCACCUUAUUGGAUCCUGUUAUUAUUUAUAAAAUAUUUUUACUUAUAAUAUAUUUUACCAGGAAAGAUACAUUGAGAUUUCUGUCCUGGGUCCACAAAACAUUGCAUUAAUACAAUAGGGUACAAUCAAAUACAAAAACAAUAUGGUGAAGAAAUUACUGUUAUUUUUUGUUAUUUAACUUUUUUCCGUUCAGCAGUUGAAACUACCGAACACAGACCACCCCCCUGGCUCGUUAACUACAAGGAAUUAGUGCUCUCCCUGUGUGGCCAUCUUGUUUGCAUGAAAAGAGGCAGCAGGACUUGGUCGUCGAGUGUCAUGAACCAAAAUCGGACACUCGACUUCCCGAACACCAGUCAAACCAUACAAAUGCCUGCUUCCUUUUCCCGACCAGCUAGGAGAGUGCUGUUCAAUAGUUUUGUUCCUACAAACUAGGGGAACAAAUGCUACUAUGAGCCAGGGAGUACUGUUCGUGAUUUUAUUCGGUUUCGAGACUUUCCUAAAUAGACCGACCGAACAACCUGAACUCAUGGAACUGUUUCUAGGUGAGAGCCUCAUGUGCGGCCAGUCAAACUAAGAAAUCCAUGAAACUACCGAACCCCUGAACUGAUCUGGGUGAUUUUUGGAUAUGUUGGUCACCCAGAUAAGGACUAUCAGGGGAUAUGACAUUUAUAGAGAUGUUAUGUAUUUUAGGGGUGCUUUUGAAGUUUUGGGGAAAAAUGUGUUUUUCUGCCUGGAGAUAAUUGAGUUAUUACAGUAUCUGACGCAAUUAUCUCCCAGGCAGAGAGGAGGGAUUAUGUGUUUACUGUGGGAGUGUUAUACUUUGUAAACCUAUUGUGAUUGGUGUACAACUUUGUAUUGGAGUCCCCAACAAGGUCCAUGUGGGAGUAACCCUUGCAUGGGGACUUGCAUAAAAGGCACCCAUUAAAAUCAUUCCUGUUACACCCUUCAUCUAGUUUCGGCUGAUGUUUGGGUGGCUGUCUACUUUACUGGGAGAAUACACUUGGGAGACUGACAUUCGUAUGGAGAAUCGUUCGAAUCAACACCCGAACUGUGAGCUAUAAUCACUCAGGCUCAGGCAGUUUGGAGGAAAUAGGCGAAUGGGUAUCUACUAUACCAGCGUUCGUUACAAAUAUUAAUACACCAUUUACAAAAUUUAACAUAGAACAACAUGUAGGAAAAAUAUAAUCAACCAUGACAGGUGCAUUCUGUUAUGAGAUAUGUGGAGAGGGAUCUCUUAAAGGACUUUAGGCUUGGGAAAGAUUUGAAAGUGUGCGGGAGGUCGUUCCAUAAUUGUGGUGCUCUGUAGGAUAAGGAGGAUCGAGCUGCUUUCUUUUUGUAUUGACGUACACUAAAUAAAGUGACGGUACUGGAUUGGAGGUUAUAGGAGGUGGGAACAGCCGAAGAGAGCAUUCUGCUCAGUUAGGGUGGGAGUUUCCCAGAAAAGCUUUUAAACAUAAGGCUGGAAAGGUGAAGGGUGCAUCUGGAUUCCAGCAACAGCCAGUUUAGUUCUUUUAGCAUGUCACAAUGGUGGGUCCUGUAAUUACAUUGUAGCACAAAUUGGCAGAAAAAGUUAUACAAUGUAUUAAGUUUAUUAAAGGACCACUAUAGGCACCCAGACCACUUCAGCUUAAUGAAGUGGUCUGGGUGUCAGGUCCAGCUUGGGUUACCCGACGCGACGCAUUCAGCCGAGGAGGAGAGGAGGCGGAGAGCUCCCUGCCCUUCCUCACCCUAGAGCCCGGUGGGAGGGGGACCCUGAGGGUGGGGGCACCCUCAGGUCACUAUAGUACCAGGAAAACGAGUAUGUUUUCCUGGCACUAUAGUGGUCCUUUAAGGUGGAUUUGCGGUGCAGGUGCAUAUACUACAUCCCCAUAACCAAUCAUUGGCAUCAGCAUUUGCUGUGCAAUAUUUUCCUUUACUGUAGGGCUUAGGCAGAAUUUGUUUAUGUACAGUUUGGGAUAAAGUUUAGAUGCAAGUAUUUCUAUGUGGAGGCCAAAGAUAGAUUGGGGUCUAACAACAUCAGCCUGUUUGUUCCUCCCUAUCAAUGAGAUAUAGAUACAUAGAUAAUAUCUUUUGUGAUAUGAGAGACUGACUCCUGAUCACUUGCAAGGUUCCCUGUAUCUAUCUUAAGGGCCUUCUCUUGACAUAAUAAUUAGAACAUUAUUAGCAACUAGUCAUUCUAUGUGUAGCUUUACCUUAGUUGGUUAAUAAAAGUUAGGGUCUCCUGCCCCCAAUUUAAUACUGUUCUCUGGUAUUCUUCUGACUUGAGGCUCCUGAGUUUGUUUUGUUUUAUGAGAAAGCAGCUAUUACCUUUGCACUGAGUUCCAGUUGAGCUCCAGUUCCCCGUUGCUGUGCAGGAUAUUGAAACUACUCCCACAAGUGUAAAACCUGGAUUACAUGUGAAGGUCACAGAGUCCUGAUAUAUGAAUUGUGCCUUUAUGGGGACAAAGCUUCCAUUAGAAAUGGAAUUUGGACCUGGGCAGACUUGCACUAAAAAACAAAAAUAAAUAUAUAUUUCAAAGGAAUCAGUAAAAAUUGGUUAUCUUUAUUAACAAUGUGCAAACAGUUGAUAAUCAAAUAGAUUAAAUUAAACUUGCAUAUUUUCUUAAAGGACUUUUUUACGCCGUUAUUCUUGCUUUUUAUUUUUUAUUUGGUUACAGUAGCUACCUCGAGUAGAUUUACACUGAGUAAACAUCAGGUGUUGGAUUCAUUAUUACAAAUGGAAAAGAAUACUGAAAAAAAACGAUGUUUUAACCCAAGAAAUAUAAUCUACUCCUUACCUUUCCACACUCCUGUUUCUAUGCAGACUAUCAAAUCUACUUCUACAAGUAUAAAAUAUAUUUUGAAACAAUCAGUUCAAACUGGUUUGUUUAUAAUUUUGCAAGUAAUAGGUGAUCCCAAAAAUAAUUGAAAAUACAGGAUAAUUUCAGGUUACUUUGAUUUCAUAGAGAAUUCUCAGAUUGCAUAUAAUACAUAGGGUAAAUCCAGCUAAGGGAGACAAAAGUAGAAUAUAGUGCAACACUGUAGAACCCAAAUCGGGAGAUAUAUAUGUUCCAAUGGAUCAUUCACACUUUGUAUUCAAAGUAUAGGCAUUCAGGUGGUCUUUGAACGUCAACCUUCUCAAUUAUUGGUAAUAUGGGUCUUGAUUAUAUGUAAGAAUAAAGUAUAUUACAAUAAAGUGACUAUUAAAACAAUUGUGUAGUACAAAAAUGUAUUACUUACACAGAAGUUAAAAACAGCUGGCAUGAGGUAAAAAGGUGAUAUCAACACAUUGAACUCAUUCAACGCGUUUCAUCCCUGUCGGGGACUUCCUCAGGAAUUGGCACUUGUUCUUAACUGAAAACCAUUCUUGAGGAAGUCCCUGACAGGGAUGAAACACAUUGAAUGAGUUGAUAUCACCUUUUUACCUGAUGCCAGCUGUUUUUAACUUCUGUGUUUGUAAUACAUUUUUGUACCACACAAUUAUUUUAACAGUCACCUUAUUGCAAUAUACUUUAUUCUUACAUAUAAUCAAGACCCAGAUUAGCAAGAAUUGAAAAUUUGAAUGAGUUGAUAUCACCUUUUUACCUGAUGCCAGCUGUUUUUUGGUUUUUUUUGAACUUCUGUGUAAGUAAUAAAUUGUUGCACUACACAAUUGUUUUAACAGUCACUUUAUUGGAAUAUACUUUAUUCUUACAUAUAAUCGAGACCCAUAUUACCAAGAAUUGAGAAGAUUGACGUUCAAAGACCACCUGAAUGCCUAUACUUUGUAUUCAAAGUGUGAGUGACCCAUUGGCACAUAUAUAUCUCCCUAUUUGGGUUCUACAGUGUUGCACUGUAGUCUACUUUUGUCUGCCUUAGCUGGAUUUACCCUAUGUAUUGUAUGCAUGUUGAUUGAAGAUUUGAGGAGAUCUUCGGGGUAAUCCUAAACUUAAAGGGAAGCUAAGCAUUUACUCAUUACCUUGUGUAUUUAAUUCACUCUAUUCACCUACUAGUGCAUUUAAAAAUACAGUCACUUUAUUAUAAUCCACUGUGAUAUAGUGGAAGAUUUUUUGUAUAUUUUUUUACGUUAGAAUUCAGAUUGUUAUCCUUCUGUUUACAUGUUUGGAAUGGCAGUUAUUGUUAUGUUGUUGAUAUGCUAGAGUAACACUCCCCAAACACACUUCAUCAAACAUUAUAAAAGUUUAAAAUGUGGCCAACUCUCCAUAAAAGUACAAAGAGUAGAUUUUAUUCCAAACUUCCUAGCAACAAAGACAUUAACAUUGUAUUGGCUGCUCUUUUUUUAUUAUUAUGAAUCAUUUUGUUAGUUUAAAAUAUCUCCUCUACAACGGUAAAGUAAGGGUCACAAUUGGAAACUAAUUCUCCUGAACAAACCCAAUCCUUUGUGCAAUUAAAUAAGUAAUUUACUAAAUCAUAUUAUUUAGCUACAAUCUUUUUUUACCAGCAUCAUAUAUUUUUCUUAGUCUCACUUUCAAUGGAAUGUAAGAAGAGAUAGGGGUCAUUUUGGAAGACUCUUUGCCAGGAUCUUUGAGGUCCUUUCUAUUUCAUAUGUAGAGUCUUUAGUAAUGUAAUUUAGUUACUCUAGAAGUGAAUCAGGAAACUCAUAUAUAAUAUGUGUAUAAGAAUAUUUUAGAUGAGCCUAGAGUAGCUGAUAAGGUUUUGCUAGCUUAAAUAUUUUUUUUAUCCUCUAAGUAACUACUAGAAUGCACAGUUACCUACCUAUAUACCAAAUAAUAUUAACUUUACCUUAUUUUCACACCUUCAAACCCUUAUUUCUAAAAUAAAUCUUCUCAUAUUUAAAGAGGUUUCAUUGGAGUUUUAGAUCUUUGUUUAGAUGUUGCACAAUAUUCUGUGUAAGUGCUGGCUUAGUUUAACAGCAAGCAGAGCUAAUGGCAAUUACUAAGAGGGUUAUUCACUAACGCUUUUAAUGUGGCUACUGUGUGAAAUUCACUUUUAAUUCUCAUUUUAGUAAAUAACCCUGUAUUUUCACAAUGCAUUCCAAAACCAGUCCUAACCUUUGCACUGAGGUACAACUGAGCUCCAAGUCCUUGCUGCUGUGCAGGAUAUUGAAUGUCCUCCGACCAGCAAAAAACCUGGAUUACAUGUAAACAUUACCACGUCUUGGUAUGCAUAUUGAGUCUUCUUGGGAUUAAACGUCCCGUUAGUAAUGACACUUGGGGGAUUACAGCCUAUGGAAAAAAAAGUUUAUAUUUUAUUGCAGAUUGUAUUAUCUCUUCUUAUAUGCAAGCUUUUAUAUUUAAUUGAUUAAUCACGCAAACUGAAGAGCAAAGUAGGAAUCUUUCACAUGUGAGUGAUUUAAGCAACUCAUUCCUUUUUAUAUGGUUUAAUGUUUUUAUCUCUUGGUUCUUUGGGUUCUACUGAGUAAUAUUUAGUGUGUGGCAUGAAGAGUCAGCUAGCAAAUAGAGGCUUUGAAUCAUGUAUUGAAGACUUAUUUCUGUUUACCAUAAAGUAGGUAUAGUACUUAAAGACAUUAUUAAUAUAUAAACGGAAUGGUCAAUAACUUAGAAAAUGUUAGUACAUCUUUUAACUCAAAAAACUAAACACAACCCUAAAAUAACAUUUUGUUCUAACCUUUGCAUUGAGGUUGUACUGUGUUCCAGUUUCCUGUUGCUGUGCAGCUUAUUGAACUUUCUCCCACGAGGGUAAAACCUGUAUUACAUGUAAAGGUCACAGAGUCCAUAAACGAGUAUUGAGACUUCUUGGGACUGAAAUUUCCAUUAAAAUCUGAAUUUGGAACUGGACAGACUGGCACUAAGGAACAAAGAGAAAUAUGUAAAAACAAUCAGUGCAAAUUUUAUUUUCUUUUAUAAUAAUUUCCUGUUUCCUUAAGUUUUUCAAUUAGUUUUUGAUAAGGAUCAAAUCAAGUGUUUGAUAAUUUAGUGUAUCUGCUCCUGUCCUGAUUAGUAGAUAUGUGCGUGCACAUUUUUCCAAAGUAAAUCACACUGGACACAAAGUUUUCAAGUUGGUGAAAGACCCAGGAAUGUUUAAGCAGGGGGCGGGGAGCCUGUUAUAAAGCACAAAUACAUCACAUGCAUAAUUACAGAUAACAGAGAAAAAUACAACAAUAAUUGGUUAGAUGUUGGGUGGUUUAUUCAGUGCACAUCCUACUGGGUGUGCAUGUUAGUAUUAUCAUGAAAUUCUCUCCUGGAUUCCAGCUCCAUCUUGGUUACACGAUGAGAGGGGGUGACUCCCAGCGGCCAUUUUGAGUAGUUACUGAAUAAUACUGAUCAUGAUUACAUAGCGUAGAUGGGCAUUUUACUAAACUAUUAUUUUGUCCACAAAAGUUUCACAAUUUCUUAAAAAAAAUAUAAAAAAAUAUUUUUAAAAUAACAUUUACCAUUAUUUUAGAAUCCCACUGAUGCCACUCAUUCUGGACAAACGACCUCCAACAGAAUAGAAGAGCACUAAAAUAAGUUCAGGUACUUAAUAAGCAGAACUCAUUGUUUCAGAUCACAGAGCACCUGGCUUUAUUUUAUUAUUUAAUUUCCUUAUGAAACUUGUUGUUUAUUGCACACAUUCAAGGACAGAAUAAUUGCAAGUUAUAAAUAGAGUUUUACGAAUAACACCAUAGAUACGGCAUAUAUAGUUGCACUCUCGGCAUGUGUUACGCUAUUUUUUCACUUGUUCUUAUUUCUAAAGUUUUGAAAAGUUCAAUAAAAUGUAUUUGAAAUGAAAGAUAUAUAAUUUCACUAUGUUUCUAGCUUUCAAUGGAUUUAUUUGUAGACAAGAGAUCUUUCCACAGUUUCUUAGUGAAAUAAAAAAAAACAAAGAAAUGAAGCCUAAAACUCACCACUUACGGUCUUUGACUCACUUAUCCCCUCUUGGAAUCCAAAACCGAAUAUCUUGUAAUAUUUAGUGUGUGGCAUGAAGAGGCAGCUAGCAAAUAGAGGCUUUGAUGAUGUAUUGAAGACUUAUUUCUGUUUACCGUAAAGUAGGUAUAGUACUUAAAGACAUUAUUAAAAUAUAAACGGAAUGGUCAAUAACUUUGACCACUGGUCAAUAAGUUUGACCAUAACUUUGACCACUUUGACACACAGUGAAAAAGUCCCUUCUUGUAUCAUUUUUUGAUGUUACGUUCAACUUGAGGACCAAAUGAGGAUCCAUAAACAAAUCGACACAAACUGAUAUGUCAUCACAAAGGUAGGGGUCCCUACCUGGUAUGCUUUAUUAUUAUUAUUAUGUUAUUAUUUAUAUAGCACCAACAAAUUCCGCAGUGCUUUACAGUGUGUGGACGAACAAACAUGUAGUUGUAACCAGACAAGUUGGACACACAGGAACAGAGGGGUUGGGGGCCCUGCUCAAUAAGCUUACAUGCUAGAGGGAGUGGGGUAAAAUGACGCAAAAGGUAAGGAUAGUAUUAGACUAAUGACAGUUGCAAGAGAGGAAUCAGUCGGGAGCUAUUAAAGGACCACUAUAGGCACCUAUAGGCUCAAUGAAAUGGUCUGGGUGCAAGGCCCAUCUAGUGUUAACCCUGCAGCUGUAAACAUGUUUGUAAACAAGUUUACACUGGGGUUAAUCCAGCCUCUAGUGGCUGUCUCAUUUUCACAGUGAGAAGACGCUGCCGUCCAUAGAAAAGCAUUGAGAAAUGCUUUCCUUUGACUGAUUGAAUGUGCGUGCGGCUCUUGCCGGAAGAGGGAGGAGAGUCCCCAGCCCCGAGGGAGCCUGGCGCUGGAGAAAGGUAAGUGUUUAACCCCUUAGCCCCUCUUGAGCCAAGCAGGAGGGGGCCACCCCUCCUCCUUUCUUGCCUUCCCUGUCUUUUCAAUAUAAAGAGUACCCUGGUAUUGCUAUGUCCCAGUCAAUUUUCUCAUUAUACCAUGUCUCAUUAACAGUGACUAAAUCUACAUUAUCAGUUGCCAUUAUUGCCACAAGUUCACGGAUCUUAUUCCUUAAAGAGUGAGCAUUUGUAGACAUGACUCUAAGCUCAUACUUUUUAACACACUUGCUAUAGGCACCUUCUAUCCUUGUUUUGGUGGGCAAUUGGAUUGAUGUUUUAUCACUCUUUUGCCCCCCCCCUCCUAGUUUAAAUACAUCCUAGCAAAACCUCUAAACUGCUCACUGGGAACAUUUGUUCCCUUUUGAGAAAGAUGGAAACCAUCUUUUUUUUUGUACAGUUUACUUCCAUUCCAAACAGAGCUACCAUAAGAAAUGAAACCAAAUCCUUGCUCCCGACACCAUUCAUCAAGCCACAAGUUAAAGUCCCUAAUACGCAUCCGCCUGUCGUUCUGAAUGUUAUGCACAGGCAGAACUUCAGAGAAUGACAGUGUGGAAGCAACCUGCCGUAUAUCUUUGGCAAAAACACAAAAAACUUCCUUUACCUCUGAAACUUCAUUGCAAGCCAAGUCAUUUGUCCCUAGAUGGAAAAUAAAUCUAAUUCACCUCCCUGCUUUGCUCGCUUAACAAUAUUACAAAUACGUCUCCUGUCUCUGUGAGCAGUAGCUCCCGGAAGACAGCUCACAAGAUCACUAUUGUCCAGCUCCACACCUCUUAUGAUAGAAUCCCCCAACAACAACUGCUUUCUAUUAGGCCUCACCAUAGUCUCCAAGCAGUCUCCAUAAUACCACUGCACUCGGUGCCCGAGUCUGUCUCCACAACUCCACUACACUUGUUACACAUGGAAGGUAAAACUGAAGAGUGAGUUUAGAACUGUGCUUUGUGUUAUAUAUAUAUAUAUAUAUAUAUAUAUAUUGAUAUAUUUUUGAUAUAUGAUAUGAUUUGUUUUUUUAAUGUGUUCAAAAAGUUAUUAGAAAAUGUUAUCCAAAAAGAUGAAAUCAUUUGUAAAGUUUAUCCAACUAUAUUAAAUGAAGGCCUAUGUCUGAAGGGUAAAUCUUACCUUUGUGUCAAUUCUUGAAGGGUGAAAAAAAAUAUUUUUUUUAUACUUACUUGAGGGUACAGAUGGUGUACAUUUAUUGGUAUUGCAACAUGUGGUAGAUAUCACUCCUCUUUCAGUAGCAUUUGUAUAUUCCACAAUUGUGUCACACUCACUUGUUUGAGCACAGUACUUUAUGAACCUAUUGAAGUAUUGAUUAUCUAUAAAAUAUUAGAAAAAUGUAUUAAAUAAUUUACAGUUAAUAUAGCAUAUAACAUGAAGGAUGAACGACAGUGUUAGUUAAACAAAUAAUUUCUAUUCUAUUACAAGUUGUAAAAUGCUCAAUAACUUACAUUAUUUUCCUUCCAUUGGUAUAGUCAACAAUAGCAUAUUAUGUCUAUUGAACAUAACAGUGUCGGUAUAGUCGAAGACCUUUGUAAUCAGUGUAAUUCAAAAAUGUACAUAGCAUCACUUGAAAUAGGAUGGCACUUUAACACACUUAGCCUAUCAAAACCAUAGAAAACUAAACAAUUUCCAAAAAUGUAUACUUAUCGUGUUUUGAAAAAAAACUAUUACAUUGAAGUUGUGAUUCUUCAAGCACAAAUCAGUCAUAAAGUUCAAUAGCAAAGCAGUAAAAAAUAUGAUUUCUAAGUCAUAGAUUGUCCGUGUAGUGUUCAUAAGAGCUAGGGAACCGGUCUAAGGUAUGCACUAUAGCAAAACACAGAAAGGGCAGUUUUUGUUGCACAUUACAUAUUAAAUAUAUUGUGCAUUUGUAUAUAUAAAUGCAUCCAUUCAUAAAAAUAUAUGCAUACAAAUACAUGUUCUUUUUGUACAUGAUAUCUAGGAGUGAAUGUUUGGGGACAUGAGAAAAGCAAGAAAUGUAGAGGAGAGGGAAUGACUGAGAGGAGAGGACUGCAGUUGGUAGGAGUGUAGUGGGGAGUAGAGAAGAGGGGGCAGAAUGGAGAAGAGUGGAGUGAGGAGAUUAGGAGAAGGAGUACAGCGGGUAAGAGUCAGUAGACGUAGAGGAGAAGGAGAGGUAAGAGAAGCAGAAAAUGGGUUUACAGGAAUAGAGUACAGGAGGGAGAAUAGAGAAAUAAAAUGGAGGCCAAUCACUAACACUAAAAGACCAGUUAGGCAGCAAUGAUGGCACCCAAUGAUUGCUAGCAUGGAACAUUUACCUCCGAAGUGUGCUGCCAUCUGCAAAAAGUUCUUGUUUUAAAAUAUGUAUAUGAUGGGACUUGGCAGCAACCUACAAUGCUACCUGGUAACCCACUAUCACAUAAGCAGUAAACUCAAAGUCCCCAUUAUGAGAACUUCCAUGGAUUUUAAAAUUUCAACUGUACCCUGCCCUAGAAUCUACUGCUAUAUUUACCCCAUGAACAGUGGCGUAAAUACUGCAGUUGCAGCUAGGACUGGGCCCAUCACUCUAGGCACCGCACACUGAGGGGCCCAUCGGGUGGACCGUGCUCUUAGAGCCACCCGAUGCAAUGUAUUUUCUGGAACCCAGUAUGCACUGUGGUGCUCCAAGAGCCCCCUGUCAUGAUGUCAGCUUGGGAGGAAGUGAUCUGUCACGUCCUCCCAGCUAACAGAGCUGCAUGGUUGGAGGAGGAGGAGAGACUUGCAAGGGAGGAGAAGGACAGGAGAGGUCAGAGUGGGAGCUCUGACUCCUGUCAGUCUGAGCCAGCUACUAGACCCAAGGGAAAUCACCCUCCUGCACCUAUAAGGUAGAAAACAGGAGGUACAGUUUGCAUGUAUCUGUAUGUGUGUCUGUGUAUCCGCACAUGUGUCAGUACAUGUGCCAGUGUUUGUAUCCAUAGGAGUGUCAUUCUGUGUAUCUGAAUGUGUGUCAUUCUGUGUGGCUAUGUAUCUGCAUGUGUGUCAGUGUGUGUAUCAUUCUGUGUGUCUGUAUCCAUAUGUGUGCCUGUAUAUCAGUAUGUGUGUCCAUGUAUAUAUCUGUUAUAUGGUAUGUAUAUGUCAGUGUGUGUUUAUCUGCAUGUGUAUGUGUAUGCACCUGUGUGUCUGUGUAUCUGUCACCCCCACACACACAGUCACCCGUCUUCACCCUGCCACACUCACAAUAACUCAGCCAAUCCUGUCAUUCACCUAUGCCAUACUGACCUCUCAUCGCUCUGCCAUACUCACCCUAUUACACUCACCUUGUGCAAUUUUUCGUACGCCUCUGCUUAUGUAUACAUAGUUCACUGCUGUCAUGGCACAACCCGAGCCCUGCAGACAGGGCUCGGGCUGACCCACCUGCAGGCCUUUUCCAAUUAGGGUUAGCUGCAUCUAAUUAGCAGGCUGUAAAAGCCAGCCCUGCCUGAAACCUAGCAUCUGGUCAUUUUGCCUGUUUGGUGUUUCCUGCUGGAUCUCUGCUUUGCUACUGACUGAUUUCCUGAACUCUGUUUUCUGCCUGCUUUACUGACUAUGUUACUCUGCUGCCAGCCCUGACUUCUGCUUCUCAUCUGACCCUGCCUUUGGAUUUCCCCUUAAUCUGUACUGCGCUUUUGGUUUUUGCCUCCUUCCCUGUGUGUUGCUUACUUCUUCCCUGUGUGUUGCUUAGAUGUGAUGGUUUUUUAAGUUGCCUUUUUUCUUUUUUGGGGAACUCAAACCCUACAUUAAAGGUUUUUUAUUUAUAUAUCUGCAUACCCAUAGAUUCCUUUUCCUGUUCGAUACUCCCUUAGCUCAUUUUGCUAGGGACUACCUACAAUCCUAAUUUUUGUUAAUACUACAAGGGUUACCCCUUAUAUAAGGUUCUAUGGACACACUAUAGAUUCCGAUCAUAAGGAAUCUUACACUUUUUUGCCGUACUAAAGAACUAAGAAAAUACAUUUUCUUUUCAUGUCUACCAUUUUGGAUUUUUAUUCCUGGUUUUGUGAAUUGUAAAAGGGUGUCUUGGAAAAUUAGGACAAUUAGUAAGGUACCUUUCCCAAUUAUUUAUUUUAUUUGUCACAUUUUAAUCAGUUCAUCCUCAACAUUUUUAUUUUCAUCCACAACAUUUUCAUCACUGAAAAAUCUUCUAUGUCACUUGAAUCUUAAUUACUGGGGUUAUAAUCAUCUUCAUCAUUAAAAUCAUACUCAGAAUCACUCUGGUCUAAUAUUCUGGCCAAUUCUUCCUCAGAUAAAAUUUUUGGUACAUCAUUUUUUUGAAUUUCGCACAUGGUAGUGCUGGCCCUAAAUAGUGUCCAAGCUCAAUACUCUAUGACCAUAGCUGACGUUUUUUUUUUCACUGAACUAUUAGUUGUUCUAAAUUUAAAUUGAAAGCAAAAUGCAAGUCAAAAUAGCAAACAUAUAACUAAAGCUGGACUGAAGAAUUUAAUUUCCAUUUUGUCUGUUUUUACCUAAAUUGUGCAAAUUGAAUUUCAGUUUAGUAUAAUUCAAAACCCGACUGUCAGACUGUCUGGCUGUGCUUCACAGUUUGUGUACUACUGUGAUGUUAUAAAAAAACAGUAGUAGCAUUACAUUAAUUUGUUCAUCCGACUUUUGUAAUAGCACAACAUUUUUACAUGCCAAAUUGCUCCAAUAUUAUGCAUGUAUUUGUCUAAAUUAGAAUGAAAAUCUAAACAAAAAUUCAGGAAAUAAUUUUUUGACUGCCCUCUGGUCUUAUAUUGACACACAAUGUGUACUAUAUAGCAAAAAAUAUAUAUAUCAAACUUUCAUUCAUGUGGUUGCUUUGUCAGGAUUCAUUUUGGGUCGUUUUAUCCGUAUUUUGCCCAUGAAAUAGUUUCAGACAAAAUUAUACCUGUCCUUACUCUUCCCUCUCUCCUUCCUUCCCCCUUCCUGGCUUCCUUCUUCCUUAAUUUUCCUUCUCACAAAUAGUUGGGGUUUUUAAAGUCGAAAUCACAAAAUGUAUCACACAGAUGCACAUGUCUAAUAUGUACUAUAUGUAUAUGGUAAAGGUUUUUUUUUUUAUAUAUUACAUCAGAUAGCACAAUUGUUAUGCAAUUAAAUUGCAUUAACAAGAUUUCUUUAAAAAAAUUAAGUGGAGGGCAAACUAAUCACCAAAAUUACUAUUAUUCAGGUGUCAGGUGUUUACUUAAUCCUUUUGUAUUGUUAGUAUUAUUCAUGUGUCAGUUGUAUACUUAAUCCACGUCAAAAUGUUAGUAUGAUCUGGUAUGUACUUAAUCCUAGUCAUUUUCAAUAAUUAUAUUGUAUUAGAGUUUCUAUAGCAAUUAAAUUAUUAUUAGUGCAAGACAUAAGCAUGUUAUGAAUAUGACUUGAUGAAGUGCCAUGUAUAGUCAGUAAUUUGUUCCCUUUCAGAACCUGUAGAAAGACCUCCUGCGUGAAAAAUGAAACAGUUGUAUUCCGCUUGGAAGCCUGUGCUGGUUACUAGGGGUAGCAACCCACAACAGCGGAAAUUUUCUAGGUGAAUAGGUUGAGUACUUCAAAUCAUGACAAUUCCCUGCUUGCCCACCCACCCCUACCGGUGCUGUUAUACCCAAUAUGGGUUAGAGGAACACAUGCAGACCCCAAACAUUUUAUGCAAUUACUGCAAGAGGAAUUGUGUCUUUUAGCUACAUGCCACCACCAUCAAAAAAUACAAAGGAAAAGUGUCAAACAGACCAUGAGGUCUUAUAGAAAUUAUGGAACUAGGAUCACUAGCAUCCACAGGCAGAGCCGGAUUUGCCAUUAGGCCACUGAGGCCAAGGCCUCAGGGCAGCAGGCAUGAGUGGGGAGGCAAGGCCUGUGGGGAGAUCAAAGAUCUCCCUUACUGGUCUGCCCUUUCUCCUGCAGUGGGGCAAACCAACGGGGAAGUCUUUUCAGCCAUACAUGAUCUUCCUCACCAGCCCUGAUCUAUUGCAUUAAAGCAUUUCCGUGAGUUACCACAGCAAUGCUCUGAUAUAUUUCCUGUGGGUGCUGACAGCAACAUUUCCUACCGGACCACCAGGGAUCAGGAUUGCCCCUUGCUGGUCCUAGGUAAGCCUCAGGCAAUGGAGUUUAUUCCCUUUAUUGAUGUAUUUAUUUUUAUUUUUAUGUAUUUUUGUAUCGCCCCCACUACCUCCAGAAACAAGCAACACCACAAUUAGCCCACGCUCACAGAAGUAACCCCACAAGCAGCAUCUUCAUAAACAUGCAACAUCACAAGCAGCUUUCCUCCACAAACACAACACCAUGAGCAACCUUCAUGCUUUUAUCCAAGCACCCCCUUCCAGCACUUAUCAUCCAACCACUCACCUACUUACAUUCACCAUACCAUCACACCCCAAACUAGUCAGAUUAUUGCAUAUAUAUAUAUUUCGAGAAGGGGGUGCAUUGAAAAAAAUGGUCUUUGGGCAGCAAGGAGUGUGAAGCCGAAUUAGAGUUUAAAACAGACAAUGUAUUGUGUCAAAUGAGAUGUACGCAAGCCACAAUUAUUCUACUCGAUUUACCUUUAGUAAAUCUCUGAAAUGCAAAUGAGGAGGUAGUUUGGUGAUUUUCCCUGGAUUAUCACUCGAUUAACCUUGUUAUUGAUGUCUGAGAAGUGAUAUAUGUAAGAACAAGAAAAAACGUAAUACACUGUAAAAUGUGAGCGUACAAUUAUAAAAUUAUAAAUGCUCUUCUUUGUUUUAAAGUUCCAUUUUGCAUGUUUCUAACUUACUUUUCAUAUACUUAGUGUACUGGGAUCCACAUACAGUUCCUUUGCAGUCUACAGUUGUUCCACUGCACAUAAACGGUGAUGGACCCAAGCAGUUUGUGCACAUGACAGAAAAACCUAAAGAAAGUAAACAUGGCAUAAAAAGGUUAAAACCAAGACUGUUUUACUAUUAAUAUGUACAGAACAUUGCUGCAGGAUUGGGGCACAGAUGGGAAAAAUAAAGAGACAGAAGACUGAUGAUAGUUAUGAUAAUAGCAAACCAUGUACUAUCGGAAAAUAAUGACAUAAUAAUUUAGAAGUGGUUGCAGAACCCCAAGGUGGCAUUAUUCAUACAUGCUGCACUUUCAUGUAUGUAUAAGGCUAGACAUCAUGUUUUCAGGCAUGGAUGAGGCCAGUUAGCAUUGUCCUCCCAAGAGUAAGUUGUCUUUAUUUGAGGCUUUAUCUUGUGUAAUGAAUUAACUAGAGUUCACCAUUAAGUAGCUAUUUCCCUCUGAAAACUGUUAUAUCAGCAUUCUUACAAUAUAUGCAUCACUGAGUGCAGCCCUGUUGGUAUAUAUAUAUAUUAGACUGGUGUACAGUCAUGAAAUUCAGUUUGAUUUGAUUAUAUUUUAACAGGCUUUUGUUAUACCUUCCACUGUAGGAGAUUGAGCAACUUCAGGUCUUUGUUUUCAAUAGGUCACAUUACACCAGGGCCGGACUGGGAAAAAAAUUAGGCCCGGGAAUUUUUCAAUCAGAGCGGCCCCCUAAGAAGGGGGCGGGGCCAGAGAGUGUGUGUUUUGUCAUCACUAAUGACAACAUGCCCCCUCUCAAAGUGAGCAUGUUGGUUCAAUGCCCAGAGCCCUGCUGAAGAGCUCUGGCAUUAGAAAAAGGCCCUGAAUUUGUUCUGCGCUGCGCAAGCAAAUGUAAUAACAUGCUUGUGCUGUGUUUGCUUUUAAAUUGUCUCUGAUGUCUCCACAAGUGGGAUACCAGAGGAGAAAUGGGCCAGGAAAGUGCAUGGUGCAUAUGUUUGGAGCCUGCUUGUGGGAUUGCGUGUGUGUAGAGUGUGGUGUGGUAUUGUGUAAAUAGGUCAAUUUAAUUUGUGUUUGUGGUGUAAUAUGUGUGGCUAGGGGCUGUAGAGAGUGUGUGUAUAGGGGGCAUAGUUUUAUAGGGAUGCAGCGAGUGUGUGCAUACGGGCUGAAGUGUGUGUGUAUAGGUGACGUAGUGUGUGUAGGGGUUGCAGAGGGUGUGUUUAGAGAAUGUUGUAUGUGUUUGCUGACAAAGGGAAUGUAGUGUGUGUGUGUGUGGGGAGAUCUACUGUGUAAAAGGACCCAGUGUGUGUGUGUGUGUGUGUAUAGAGGGAUAAGAGUGCAUAUAGAGUAAGGGAUCUAGUGUGUAUCUGGGCGUGUAAUGUGUGUAGUGGUGCAGUGUGGGGGUGCUGUAGUGUGUGUGUGUGUGUGUGUGUGUGUAUAUAUAUAUAUAUAUAUAUAUUUGGACUUAUUGUAUGUGUGAGGGGCGCAGUGUGUGUAUGUAAGAGGGUUGCUGUGUGUGAGGGUGUUUUUAUCUGCUGUCACAUUCUAGGUUUCUAAUUUUCUUUGUCUGUUAACUCACUGAGGGUUAUUUUAUAUAUAUAUAUGUGUGUGCUGUAUAUGUGUGGGAGUGUGCUGUGUGUGUCUGGGUGCUGUGUGUGUCUAGGGGGUGCUGUGUCUGGGGGGUGCUGUGUGAGUCUGGGUGCGCUGUGUGUGUCUGGGUGCGCUGUGUGUCUGGGGGUGCUGUGUGUGUCUGGGGGUGCUGUGUGUGUCUGGGGGUGCUGUGUGCGUCUGGGGCAGUGUGCGCGGUCUGGGUGCAGUGUGUGUCUGGGGGGUGUGUGCGUCUGGGUGCAGUGUGUGUCUGGGUGCAGUGUGUGCCCGGUGUGCUGUGUGUGUCUGGGUGCAGUGUGUGCGCCCGUGUGCUGUAGUGUGUCUGGGUGCAGUGUAAAGUCUGGGUGUGCUGUGUGUGUCUGGGGCAGUGUGUGUGUCUGGGGUGCUGUGUCUGUCUGGGGGGUGCUGUGUGUGUGUUCGGGGGUGCUGUGUCUGGGGGUGCUGUGUCUGGGGCUGUGUAUGGGGGUGCUGUGCCUUGGGGUGCUGUGUGUGAGGAAUGUAUUUUUUAUUUAAAAAAAUUAUUUCCCCCCCUCCCUUCUUACCUUUAUCCUGGGAGGGGGGGGGGGAGGAGGAGAUCCAUUCUGCCAUGGAAGGAGGGGAGCCGUUCUGCCAUCCUUCCCUGGUGGCCCAGUGGUGAGAGUGAACUCUAACCUGCAGGUUAGAGUUCACUCUCGCGAGAUCUGAUCGUUGCCGUGGCAACGCUCAGAAUCCCGCGAGAGGACCCAGCGGAGCUGCUUGUUAGAGCUCCGCCGGGUCCUCCCUCCCUCCCUCACCCAGCCGGCGGCCGCAUUUCCAUGCCUCUGGGCCGGUGAGGGAGAUCUUUGAUCUCCCCACCGGCCCACGGAGGCACACAGCAGGGCCGGCGCUCGGAUAGCGCUGGCCCUGCAGGGGCCAGCCGGGGAGAUUCUGUGAUCUCCCCUGCCAGCCUCGGCCCCACGGCCAUCGCGGCCUGCUGCUGAGUACACACACGCUGAGUACACAUACACAGACUGCUGAAUACACACAGACUGCUGAAUACACACACAAAGACUGCUGAAAACACACACAGAGUGCUGAAUAGACAAGCACAGACUGCUGAAUACACACAUAGAGUGCUGAAUAUACACACAAACUGCUGAAUACACACACACAGACUGCUGAAUACACACACACGCACACAGACACACUUCUGAGUACACACAGAGACUGCUGAAAACACACACAAAGUGCUGAAUAUACUCACAGACUGCUGAAUACAGAGAAAUACACACUGCUGAGCAGGGCCGGACUGGGAAAAAAAUUAGGCCCGGGCAUUUUUCAAUCAGAGCGGCCCCCUAAGAAGGGGCCAGAGAGUGUGUGUUUUGUCAUCACUAAUGACAACAUGCCCCCUCUCAAAGUGAGCAUGUUGGUUCAAUGCCCAGAGCCCUGCUGAAGAGCUCUGGCGUUAGAAAAAGGCCCUGAAUUUGUUCUGCGCAGCGCAAGCAAAUGUAAUAACAUGCUUGUGCUGUGUUUGCUUUUAAAUUGUCUCUGGUGUCUCCACCAGUGGGAUACCAGAGGACAAAAGGGCCAGGAAAGUGCACGGUGCAUAUGUUUGGAGCCUGCUUGUGGGUUUGCGUGUGUGUAGAGCGUGGUGUGGUAUUGUGUAAAUAGGUCAAUUUAAUUUGUGUUUGUGGUGUAAUAUGUGUGCCUAGGGGCUGUAGAGAGUGUGUGUAUAGGGGGCAUAGUUUUAUAGGGGAUGCAGCGAGUGUGUGCAUACGGGCUGAAGUGUGUGUGUGUAUAGGUGAUGUAGUGUGUGUAGGGGUUGCAGAGAGGGUGUGUUUAGAGAAUGUUGUAUGUGUUUGCUGACAAGGAAUGUAGUGUGUGUGUGUAGGAGAUCUACUGUGUAAAGGACCCAGUGUGUGUGUGUGUGUGUGUGUGUAUAGAGGAUAAAGAGUGCAUAUAGAGUAAGGGAUCUAGUGUGUAUCUGAAGCGUAAUGUGUGUAGUGGUGCAGUGUGAGGGGUGCUGUAGUGUGUGUGUGUGUGUGUGUAUGUAUAUAUAUAUAUAUAUAUAUAUAUAUAUAUUUGGACUUAUUGUAUGUGUGAGGGGCGCAGUGUGUGUAUGUAAGAGGAGUGCUGUGUGUGAGGGUGUUUUUAUCUGCUGUCACAUUCUAGGUUUCUAAUUUUCUUUGUCUGUUAACUCACUGAGGGUUAUUUUAUAUAUAUAUAUAUAUAUAUAUAUAUAUAUGUGUGUGCUGUAUAUGUGUGGGAGUGUGCUGUGUGUGUCUAGGGGGUGCUGUGUCUGGGGGUGCUGUGUGUGUCUGGGGGUGCUGUGUGUGUCUGGGUGCGCUGUGUGUGUCUGGGUGCGCUGUGUGAGUCUGGGUGCGCUGUGUGUGUCUGGGGGUGCUGUGUGUGUCUGUGGCUGCAGUGUGUGUCUGGGUGCAGUGUGUGUCUGUGGGUGCAGUGUGUGUCUGGGUGCAGUGUGUGUCUGGGUGCAGUGUGUGUCUGGGUGCGCUGUGUGUGUCUGGGUGCGCUGUGUGUGUCUGGGUGCGCUGUGUGUGUCUGGGUGCUGUGUCUGGGGGUGCUGUGUGUGUCUGGGGGAUGCCGUGUCUGGGGGUGCUGUGUGUGUCUGGGGGUGCUGUGUGUGUCUGGGGGUGCUGUGUCUGGGUGCUGUGUNNNNNNNNNNNNNNNNNNNNNNNNNNNNNNNNNNNNNNNNNNNNNNNNNNNNNNNNNNNNNNNNNNNNNNNNNNNNNNNNNNNNNNNNNNNNNNNNNNNNACACUGACCGUUGGUCUCACCCAUAAAUAAGUAAAAAGUUUUUGUUUUAAAUCCAAGCUAUUGUGACACCAGAUGUAAGUGGUGGCAUUGACUGGGGAAAUGGGCACAGUAUGCACUGUGAGCCUGACACAGAAGCUGGCAGCAGUGGCAGACAACUGACUGCUAUUCAAUCUAUAACAGUGAAAAAAGUUUUUUGUUUUUAAAUCCAAGCUAUUGUGACACCAGAUGUAAUUGGUGGCACUGACUGGGGAAAUGGGCACAGUAUGCACUGUGAGCCUGACACAGAAGCUGGCAGCAGUGGCAGACAACUGACUGCUAUUCAAUCUAUAACAGUGAAAAAAGUUUUUUGUUUUUAAAUCCAAGCUAUUGUGACACCAGAUGUAAUUGGUGGCACUGACUGGGGAAAUGGGCACUGUGAGCCUGACACAGAAGCUGGCAGCAGUGGCAGACAACUAAGUGCAUUUACAUUAGAUAGAAAAAAAAAAUCCAAAAAAAGCAUACCCUUAUCCCUAACCUAGCUAUGCUUUUCCCUAUCUUAUGAACAGCAGCUACACUUUCCCUCCUCUUACUAAGCAUGCAGCUUGAGAAUGAAUCUAAAAUGGAUGCUGUCCAGUAGGUGGGAGGGUCUGCUAGGGAGGCUGUGCUGCUAAUUGGCUGGAAUGUGUCUGCUGACUGUGAGGUACAGGGUCAAAGUUUACUCAAUGAUGACGAAUAGGGGGCGGGUCGAACCGCGCAUAUGUUCGCCCGCCGUGGCGAACGCGAACAUGCUAUGUUCGCCAGGAACCGUUCGCCGGCGAACCGUUCGGUACAUCACUAGUCGCCAUAUGGGCAGUCGGACUCCAGGACAACCCUCCCACAUACCUAACCCAAUAAUGCACUGACACUAGGGUAUAUGGGAAAAUUUGUCCACAGCUUUAUUAAACAAUCUGAAUAAUAAUAACCAUAUAUUCAACAUAACAUAAUAAUAGUAAUAAUUUAACAAAUAAACAUGGGUCAUUGCCCCCCAUACUCUGCCUCUGCAUCCGAUUCCUUCUGUUAAUAUAAAAGGCAAUGACCCCCAUAUAAAUAACACAUAUAUAUAACAUAUACCAACAUUAUUCCAACAUACCAACCUAAAGUGCCAACAUAAAUUUAACCAUGGCAGGGGUAUACCCGGAUACCCCUACAACACCAGGUUCUGAGCCACCGACAGGACUCGAAACCUACCAACCACCAAUGACCACAGUUUUCCAUAUCUGUCACGUUCAUCCUAGGGAGCCUAUUCCUUCUCCUUCAGCUCCCUAUCCCGCCGCUGUGAAAAAACGGGAUAUCCCCUAACCAUAACAAUAUCUAUAGGGAGGGUGGGCGGGACAAACUUGGUCAGGUAGGAAAUUAGAAGUGAGCUCACUUAAAAUGGCUGCCUAUUUAAAUAGCCCAGCCUAUUUACCCAUAACUCCAUACUUCCUUCCCUCCUCCUAUGCCCGCCUCCUUACCCCUGUCAAGGCCCUUUUUCGCUUAGCUGUGCUUUGGCUACAUGGGGCUACAUUACUUGUUUCUUUGUAAGGGGCUGUGGCCAUUUUUGUAUGGCUUCCACUUUGGCUUCCUGUGGUUUAACCAAACCCCUCCCAAUAGAAUAACCUAAGUAUUUUGCUUCCUCGAAACCAAUUGUACACUUGGAAGGAUUGGCAGUUAAGCCCGCUGAGCGGAUAGCAUCAAGCACCGCUUGAACUUUGGGGAGGUGGGAUUCCCAGUCUGCACUGUGGAUGACGACAUCAUCCAAGUAUGCUGCAGCAUAACGAACAUGAGGUUUAAGAAUUCUGUCCAUCAUUCGUUGGAAUGUGGCAGGUGCCCCCUGUAAUACAGGCCUGCAAUACAGUGUACUGAAACAGGCCACUGGGUGUUGAAAAGGCUGUCUUUUCUUUGGCUCUUUCAGUGAGAGGGGCCUGCCAGUAACCCUUUGUUAAAUCCAAGGUUGUUAGAUAACAAGCUUUACCCAGGAAUUUAGUUUGUUUAUUAUUAUUUAAAGCACCUGUUUUUCUUAUCAAAUAAAAAAGAAAACUGAGCUGAAUGUAUCCUGGACUUUUUAUACCCUAGAAGGCUGUGGUUACUGCAAGAUCUGUGACAAUUCAACCUGUAAAAGAGGUGGUUUGUUACAACCCCUACAUGCACACAUAUACUCUAUAUAAAAACAUGCUUACAUUCAAAUUCACAAACACUGUUCACAAAGACAACCCUACAAGAAUGGCCAAAUGGUGGAUCNNNNNNNNNNNNNNNNNNNNNNNNNNNNNNNNNNNNNNNNNNNNNNNNNNNNNNNNNNNNNNNNNNNNNNNNNNNNNNNNNNNNNNNNNNNNNNNNNNNNGGGUGCAGUGUGUGUCUGGGUGUGCUGUGUGUGUCUGGGUGCAGUGUGUGUCUGGGUGUGCUGUGUGUGUCUGGGUGCAGUGUGUGUCUGGGUGUGCUGUGUGUGUCUGGGGGCAGUGUGUGUCUGGGGGUGCUGUGUCUGUCUGGGGGGGUGCUGUGUGUGUCUGGGGGGGUGCUGUGUCUGGGGGUGCUGUGUCUGGGGGCUGUGUAUGGGGGGUGCUGUGUCUGGGUGCUGUGUGUGUGAGUGAAUGUAUUUUUUUAUUUAAAUGUAAAAAAAAAUUUUACUAAUAAAAAAAAAAAUUAUUUCCCCCCCUCCCUUCUUACCUUUAUCCUGGGGGGGGGGGGGGGAGGAGGAGAUCCAUUCUGCCAUGGAAGGAGGGGAGCCGUUCUGCCAUCCUUCCCUGGUGGCCCAGUGGUGAGAGUGAACUCUAACCUGCAGGCAACGCUCAGAAUCCCGCGAGAGGACCCAGCGGAGCUGCUUGUUAGAGCUCCGCCGGGUCCUCCCUCCCUCCCUCACCCAGCCGGCGGCCGCAUUUCCAUGCCUCUGGGCCGGUGAGGGAGAUCUUUGAUCUCCCCACCGGCCCACGGAGGCACACAGCAGGGCCGGCGCUCGGAUAGCGCUGGCCCUGCAGGGGCCAGCCGGGGAGAUUCUGUGAUCUCCCCUGCCAGCCUCGGCCCCACGGCCAUCGCGGCCUGCUGCUGAGUACACACACGCUGAGUACACAUACACAGACUGCUGAAUACACACAGACUGCUGAAUACACACACAAAGACUGCUGAAAACACACACAGAGUGCUGAAUAGACACGCACAGACUGCUGAAUACACACAUAGAGUGCUGAAUAUACACACAAACUGCUGAAUACACACACACAGACUGCUGAAUACACACACACGCACACAGACACACUUCUGAGUACACACAGAGACUGCUGAAAACACACACAAAGUGCUGAAUAUACUCACAGACUGCUGAAUACAGAGAAAUACACACUGCUGAGCAGGGCCGGACUGGGAAAAAAAUUAGGCCCGGGCAUUUUUCAAUCAGAGCGGCCCCCUAAGAAGGGGCCAGAGAGUGUGUGUUUUGUCAUCACUAAUGACAACACGCCCCCUCUCAAAGUGAGCAUGUUGGUUCAAUGCCCAGAGCCCUGCUGAAGAGCUCUGGCGUUAGAAAAAGGCCCUGAAUUUGUUCUGCGCAGCGCAAGCAAAUGUAAUAACAUGCUUGUGCUGUGUUUGCUUUUAAAUUGUCUCUGGUGUCUCCACAAGUGGGAUACCAGAGGACAAAAGGGCCAGGAAAGUGCACGGUGCAUAUGUUUGGAGCCUGCUUGUGGGUUUGCGUGUGUGUAGAGCGUGGUGUGGUAUUGUGUAAAUAGGUCAAUUUAAUUUGUGUUUGUGGUGUAAUAUGUGUGCCUAGGGGCUGUAGAGAGUGUGUGUAUAGGGGGCAUAGUUUUAUAGGGGAUGCAGCGAGUGUGUGCAUACGGGCUGAAGUGUGUGUGUGUAUAGGUGAUGUAGUGUGUGUAGGGGUUGCAGAGAGGGUGUGUUUACAGAAUGUUGUAUGUGUUUGCUGACAAGGAAUGUAGUGUGUGUGUGUAGGAGAUCUACUGUGUAAAGGACCCAGUGUGUGUGUGUGUGUGUGUAUAGAGGAUAAAGAGUGCAUAUAGAGUAAGGGAUCUAGUGUGUAUCUGAAGCGUAAUGUGUGUAGUGGUGCAGUGUGAGGGGUGCUGUAGUGUGUGUGUGUGUGUGUGUGUGUAUGUAUAUAUAUAUUAGGACUUAUUGUAUGUGUGAGGGGCGCAGUGUGUGUAUGUAAGAGGGGUGCUGUGUGUGAGGGUGUUUUUAUCUGCUGUCACAUUCUAGGUUUCUAAUUUUCUUUGUCUGUUAACUCACUGAGGGUUAUUUUAUAUAUAUAUAUAUAUAUGUCUGUGCUGUAUAUGUGUGGGAGUGUGCUGUGUGUGUCUGGGUGCUGUGUGUGUCUGGGGGGUGCUGUUGUUGUCUGGGUGCGCUGUGUGUGUCUGGGUGCUGUGUGUGUCUGGGGGUGCUGUGUGUGUCUGGGGGCAGUGUGUGUCUGGGUGCACUGUGUGUCUGGGUGUGCUGUGUGUGUCUGGGGGUGCUGUGUGUGUCUGGGUGCGCUGUGUGUGUCUGGGGAUGCUGUGUGUGUCUGGGGGUGCUGUGUGUGUCUGGGUGCUGUGUGUGUGUGUCUGGGUGCGCUGUGUAUGUCUGGGUGUUCUGUCACUGUGUGUGUCUGGGUGCUGUGUGUGUCUGGGUGCUCUGUCACUGUGUGUGUCUGGGUGCUGUGUGUGUCUGGGUGCUGUGUGUGUGAGUGAAUGAAUUUUUUAUUUAAAUAUAUAUUUUUUAUUAAUAAAAAAAAAAUUAUAUCCCCCCCUCCCUUCUUACCUUUAUCCUGGGAGAGGGGGGGGGGGAGGAGAUCCGUUCUGCCUGGGGGGUGGGGUGCCAUGCUGCCUUCCCUGGUGGUCCAGUGGUGAGAGUGAACUCUAACCUGCGGGUUAGAGUUCACUCUCGCGAGAUCUGAGCGUUGCCGCGGCAACGGUAACCGCGGCAACGCUCAUAAUCCCGCGAGAGGACCCGGCGGAGCUGCUUGUUAGAGCUCCGCCGGGUCCUCUCUCCUCCCUCCCUCACCCAGCCGGCGGCCGCAUUUCCAUGCCUCUGGGCCGGUGAGGGAGAUCCUUGAUCUCCCCACCGGCCCACAGAGACACAUAGCAGGGCCGGCGCUCGGGUAGCGCUGGCCCUGCAGGGGCCGGCCGGGGAGAUCCCCUGCCAGCCUCGGCCCCACGGCCAUCGCGGCCCACCGGGCAUUUGCCCGGUAUGCCCGAUGGCCAGUCCGGGCCUGAAUAUAGCUUAAGGUAAAGAGGUAGCAGGCGCUGGUCCUGCAGUUCUAGUGCCCAAUCGUGGGAGCUACUGCUGCCAUGAUACUCUCUGUCUAAUCUCUUUAUUGAGUCUCAGCCAGGAGUGGAAGCUGCAGAGUGUCAGAGACCCAGGAACUUGACAAAGUGUCNNNNNNNNNNNNNNNNNNNNNNNNNNNNNNNNNNNNNNNNNNNNNNNNNNNNNNNNNNNNNNNNNNNNNNNNNNNNNNNNNNNNNNNNNNNNNNNNNNNNUAAUAAAUAAUUGAUGGCAGGUAUUACGAGUGGGUUGAUUUUGUAUUUUGUGCUAUUGUGCCUGUGGCUCUAGGAUGACAUACUUUAAAACUAGAGAAAUCUCAAUGUAUCUCUCCUUGUAAAAUAUUUUCUAAAUAAAUAAAAAAAAAUUCUAUGUCCUACUUGAUUUUCCCAGUGUUGAAAAACAUUCUCAGUCUGUGAAAGUAACUCUCUCUAUCCUUUCUUGUUUUGCAAUGAAUACACAGUAAUUGCUGAUCCACAAGAUGAUUAAAAUCACGUGGUGUGGUAAAUUUCAGUGUCUGUUAAUCUGAAGAUUUUGAAACAAUGUCUAUAAAAUAUGAAACAACUUUAUAUGCAAUUAAAAAAUAAAUGUUUAAUUUAGGAUGCUCAAACAUUUCCAGAUUAACCCCUUAAGAACAGAGUUAAACAGUAAUUUACCUCUAUCUCAUUAGGUGUACCCACAUUUAUUAUAUAUAAUUUAAUUCAGGACAAACAUGGCUUUCAUUUCACAUCUAAUAUUUAUAUAUUAAACAUAACUUAAUAUGAAUAAAAUCUAAAUAAAAGUGUAAGAAAUUAAGACAUUUUAUUAGUUCUGCAUGUCAUUUUAAUUGUGAAUCAUAAUACUGUUAGAUUUUACUGCGCAAAAGUACACAUAUCUGUGUUCAGCGAUGUCUCACAAGUAUAACAGUAUCCUGCAUGCAUAGGUUUUAUAGCGUUUUGGACACUAACAAGGGCCAAAUAUAGCGCAUUGCCUUUUGCAGUUUACAUACAUUGAAAUUUGCCAGAUUCGUUAUGUUGCCUUUGAGACCGUGUAGCAGGCCAAGAACGAAAGUCAUAGCAUAACAUUUGCAAAAGUAGACAAUCGAGUGUAUACAAAAUGGGAUGUUUGCAGUGUUUUGUAGUAGCCACUUAGUCACAGACCCUGGCCAAAUUUAGGUUUCAUAUUUGUCUUUUGCAUUUUUUCACCAAUAAAACUGCACUUUCACUGAUGAAAACCUGAUGUCCAGUUUUUAUGGUGUUUUGGAAAGUUACAAGAUCAAAUAUAAGACUUGCCCAUUCCAGUUUUUACACAUUGAAAUUUGUCAGAUUGCUUAUGUUGGCUUAGAGACCGUAUGGCAUACCAGGAAUGAAAAUUACCCCCAUCAUGGCAUACCAUUUGCAAAAGAAGACAAGCAAAGGUGUUCAAAGAGGAGUAUGUCCAGACUUUUUAGUAGCCACUUAGCUACAAACCCUGGCCAAAGUUACUUUUUAUAUUUUUUUUUUUUGCAUUUUUCUUUGAUAAUAUCAUUGUCAUGAUAUAUUUUAAUGUUUUUAAAAUGCUCAUAUCGGUGUUUCCGCAAAGUCUCCUGAGUACAACAGUAUCCUAUUACUUCUACAACAUCUUAAUUGCUCAGAAUUUAGCAGGACUGACCUUAUCUUUGUAAAUAGAUAGUCAGAUUUAUCUAUUUAUAUAUCAUAAAUAGCUGAGAAUACAAUAAAAAAAG